AUGAUUGGUGUACAUUAUGAGGAUAAUCAUGUUGCAACUGGUUUUGGUAAUCACCUUGCACGACCAUUCUCAGGGAGGAAUGGAAUGAAAACUUGACCUUUGAAGAAGGUGUCAAGCUAUUGGAGAAGUGCAUGCGCGUCCUCCUUUAUCGUGAUAGAUCAGCUGUGAACAAACUCCAGGUAUGGUUAUUUUUGGGAUAGUCUGCAAUGAUGAUAGCUUCUUGAUUGUGUGUUUUAACCCAUAUUAUAUGCUAGUGUUUCGUAUUAUUUCCUUUGAUACAAUUUUAUUCUUUUUACUUGGUAUAUGUUUAUAUUCGGGCUGGUUUUUCUUCAAGCAUCUUUGACAAAGGUUUUGUUUUUGGUAAAAAAAAAGGGUAAUGUCAAAUAUUGAGAAGCAGGAAUCUUGUCUGUGAAAGAAGUCAUCAUAACCCAACUUGCUUAUAUGACGUUAUAUUUGAGAUACCUUUCUGGUGCUUAAUUUUCCAAAUCCUGCUUUAUGUUUCAUGUAUGAAACAAAAAGAAAAUAAAAUAGAUCUUACUAACGGCAGUUGGGUAUCAUUCUCAUCAAUUACUGCUCAAAGAAUUAUUUUCAUGGUCAAGAACAGUUAAACAUUGCUGGUUUUAACUUUUUUUUAUUAUCUUGAAUGAGACUUCAGAACAUCUGUUUGAAUUUGACGCGACCUUUUAAUGCCAUUUUAUGCAGUAGACCAUUCAACUCCGAAAUAUUACCAUGCCCAUGUUUUAAUAUUCAUGUUUGAUUCCAUUUGAAUGGAUUUAAACCUUUUGUUUUCACUUAUAUUUAUUUUGGUGCGUCAACACUUUGACUUGGGGAAUUUGCAGAUUGCAAAAAUCACAGAUGAAGGUUUCACAAUUUCUCAGCGCGUAUUCAUUGAAGACUCAGUGGAAGUUUAAAGCUUUCGAGAAUCCAACAGUCGGUGCUGAGGGCUCAUGGUAGUCAGCUCUCUUGUGUGCAAAGGAAAUCAGUGUGUUUGGAAAUAUGCACUUGAAACGCGACCUUUUAAUGCCAUGUUAUGCAGUAGACUCGUGGGUUACAGCUCCCAAACACUGUUGUUCUUCUAGCGGACUUAUUUGCUUGUGUUUGUCACAUGAUUUAGAGACAUUGAUAAUGCUCUAGACGGUGAUGACUUUGGAUUGAGUUUGUACUUCAGUUUGUGAAAAUUCAUGACUGGGAAUGGAACCAUCCUUAUGCCUCUGCCAAGUCAUGACAAACUUGUCACAAUCUGCAAUACAUUCAAAAUAAAUUCCUAGAACCUUAAUAUGUUGCAGUCUAGGAUAAACAGAUUCCAAAUGCCUCUUCUUUUAUGUGCAGAUUUUGUCCCACAACCUGCAAACCUUUCGUCCCUGGAGUGGCGGUUGCUGCCUGUAGUUCUUUACUACUUAUUGGACUAGCAGUUGCUUUCAUUACCCAAAAAAGGAAAGCAGCCAUCUUUUUCGUUUGUGUUUUUUCUUUGAGCGAGAAGAAAGUUGCCAUCUACUAUGUAGGAAGUCUUUAAUUGUGGAAAAUUGAGAAAGGUUUUCAAAAUAAUGAUUGCGUUGACUGAUGAUAGUUGCAAGAAUUUUAGAAGGAAUAUAUGAACUUGAAAACUAAAAAUAAUUCUUUGGACGAACUACUUACAAUUUGAAGCUUUUUUUUUUUCCACUCAUGGAAAAUUGGCCUUGUUUUCUUGUACAAUUUACUCUGUCAUUCAAGUCGUCGAAUGCUUUUAUAAUAACCAUGAAUUAUUGGACUGCUAUUAUUAUUUUUUAAUCUUGUUCAAGAAUUCGCCAAUCACACUUGAUGAUCAUAUGAAGGAAAUUUUAAAGUUUAAAAGAACCUGUUUAACUAUUCACAAUCUCACUUAACGAUCAUAUGGAGGAAAUUUUAAACUUUAAAAAUCAUGUAAAAAUUUGUGGUGAUAGUGUACGGAUUGAAAAUUGUACAAUUAAAAGAUUUUGGAAAAAUUUAAACAAAAUCAUCAAAAUUAAAUUAUAGACUUACUAAAGGUGAAACAACUCAAGAAGAAAAAUUAGGAGGAAUUGACUUUAAUAAAAAAAAUGUCCAAGAAUGUAUUAGUAAAUAACCUUAUAAAGUUUUAUAAAAAAAAAAGUUUAAUUAUUUUAACUUUUCUAACAACUAAUGUAUAUGAGAAAAUUAGUUGAAGGAUCUCGUCGAGAAAAAUUUUAUUAUAAAAUGUCCAAAUAAUGUCCGAUAUUUUUGUUAAUGCUUAAUAAUUACUUGAUAAUUCAAGAAGUCGAGGACUGGGCAAAUUCGCAUAAUCGAUUCUGUAUCCGUCUUUAUAUAUAUAUAUAUAUAAAUCUAUCACUGUUAAACGUUAGAGACACAUUCGCAAAAACCCAAUAGUGAAUCCGCCACCACCCGCAGGAGAUGUUGAGCAACCACAGGAGUAUCACAAGAAAUAGCUCAGUAAAGUUGCUCUUUCAAUCCAUUUUGUGUUCUCAAUUCAUCUGUGAUUAUACCAUGAAUUUUUUAUGACUUAUUCUUGGUUUUUCUUCUUCGUUUCUCUGGUGCAUUUGUGGGAUCGGUUUUCAUUGGGUACCAACUAUUUGAUAAAAGUCCCCAACUGAAAUUCAGAGAGAGGGGAUCAUUUAAAAAAAAAAAAAAUUUUGUUAUUGCUUAUUUUAGGUGAUUUCUAAUGAGCCCCAGUUGGAUUGUGUAGGUUUGUGCGUGCUCGUUGUGAGAAAAAGACAUAGCAGACCAGCUGCCAAGAAGAGCACAAACAACAGUUGUCUAAGACUGUCUAAGAUCAUAAACAACAGUUGUCUAAAGUAUUUUUUGAGCUCUCCAACCUCAUUGUUGAAAAAGAAGUAAGCAAGGAAAAGAUGCCGCAAGUGAAAAUCGUCGCGAAGAAUUUUAUGGACAUGGUGGCUUCAUUGCCUGCAAUGAAGCUUGACAAACUUUAUCAGAAUGCCUUUAUUUGUCAAGCUAUCCUUAGGUUAGAACUGUAAAUCCUCUAUCAUAACGCCUUAGUUUCUGGGUAACAUUUCGUGUGUUUUAAGAUUCGUUAAUGCACUGUUAUUGGUUGUUAUGCUUAGAUCAAUGCCGCCAUUGGCAAAGAGGUAUGUUCUACAAUUGCUGUUCAUAGAUGCGCCUGUGACUGGUAAAAUGUUGGAAGAGUCUGUGCUUGCGGAUGGGUUGUCAAAGCACAAAGUAGCUAUUGAUAGAUUAGUUCAGCUGAGAGUAUUGACUGAAGCUCUUGACCGGUAAAUUGGACCCCUUUAGACCUUUUUUGUUCUUAAUUUUUAUUUUAUUUAAUCUAAAGAGUGAUAUUGUUGGCGUAAUUCUUGUUGAUAUCUGAGGAAACAGUGUUUGUUUCAGCAUGAAAGGUCUGUAGAGAGACAGUGCAAAGUUGUUUUUAGUCUUUCCAUACAGAUAAAUUUGAUCGUGUUAUCUAUGUAUAACUCAUUCUAAAUUAAGUUAGUUUGGGAUAGAAAUAUUUUUUCCAAUUUUCAAUAUAUAAAGUUGAGAAAUUUAGGAUUCCUAUGGAGAGAAACAAGGAUUUUUAUGGACAUGAAUGAUUGUAUAGUUUAGUUGGUAUAGAAAUGCUUUUCUAGCUUCCAAGAUACAAUAGUGAGAAAAUUAGGAUUGUUAUGAUGAUAGCUGAAGAUUUGUAUGGACAUGAAUGAUUGUCUUUUUGUUUUGCAAAUAUUAUUUUUUUUGUAUGAAUUAGCAAAGUUGUCAGGGAAGACCGUGGUAAAUACAGUCAUAUAUUUAAGAGGAAUUGUCUUCUUUUAUCUUUUUCUGUUUACUUUCAAACUCAAAGUGCUAAGGCAUCGUUUGACUUGAAAGUUUGUUAAUGAACCUUUGUUUUAGAAACUAAAUUAUGAAGUUCCAUAGAUGCCAUGUUAAAACUAUUUGACAGAUACAUGGUUAAUUUCUAAUGUGGUCCUCCCUUCUUCUUCUUAGUAUGAGAUUUUUGUUCUUCAGAAGUCAAUUAGUGAUACAAAUGAGUAAUAUAGAGCAUCAUGAAGAAGAAGUUACAUGGCAGAGGCUACUGCAUGACCUUCCUUAAACAUGUAUAAGCAAUAUUUUUUUUUUCAAUCAUAUAUAAGCAAUAUAUGCAUAGCUGCUUUUUGUGUAUGCCAUCCAGUUAUUCAUUUUGUUGUUUUGACCCAAAAUAUGUCUCAAACUGUGAAUAUCUGACAACAUCAAAUUUUUAUCAACGCUGUUUCUAAAUUAGUCUUCUUAGGCCAUUGGUUAUUUCCUUUGAUGGUUUGAUUGCCUCUUGUUUAUUCCCUUUCCACUGGACUUGGCUCACCUGCUAAAGAAAGCUAUUCAUCAUAUUUGCAGGAAAAAAGAAGCUACUUACAGAAUGAACCCUACAUUUCAGAUAAAUGUUCAAAAGCUUAUUGUGCAUGGGUAAGAAUUAGAUCUAUCAUGUGUGCUUUGUUGUUUUAUUCACAAUUGGGAGAUGCUUUAAUGGGUCUUUUCCCCCAUUCAUGUUGGAAGAGGUUGUUAUAUCUGCAUAGACAUACAAAUAAACACACACACAUGCACGCACAUGUAAAGGUCUAUAUAUAUGCAUAUGAAUAUUUAUAUAUAUGUAUAUAGGUCUAUCCUCUUAUUGUUCAGCCAGAUAUUUACACAAAGUAAGUUCCAUCGCCAUUAAGCCAAAUACAACAGAAACAGACAAGAGAGCCUGUAAGGACCUAUGAGAACAACUAUAUAUCAGAAGAGCAACAUGUCCACAAUUACUAAUAUUGUUAACUGUCAAAAACAGAAAAGGGUAUACUCAGCUCAGAACAUAAAGAGUAGUUUCCUACAGUUUGUGGAAUUCUCUGCUAUCCAGCAACUAUUAUCGUAAUUUCCUUCAAUAUCCUCUGGAUGAGCAUCUCUGGGGGGACAAACAGUUGACUGAACACCUUUUUGUUCCUGUUACACCAAAUGUGAUAAACUGUGGCUGCAAAGGUUACCUGAAUUACCUGGUUAUUGAAGCUAUCUUGGGAACAAUGCCUGAUCAUCCAUUGAAGUUCAAUCCCUACCCUGCAGCACUGCUGUACACCAAACACCUAGACUAAACAUACUGCCACACUUGAGCAGAAGAGGGGCAUAAGGAAAAUAGGUGGCUAAGAGUUCCUCUGUGCCAUAACAUUACUCACAUACAGGAUUAAUAUCAAUUCGCCCAAGAAUAAAAUCUAUCCUUUGUGAACAGCCUUUUGUGACAGGCAAGUAAUUAUGCUUUCUCCCCCAAAAAUUAGAGAACCAAGGAACUUUGUUUCCCGGAGGGGCUAAGUGCCUCAUGGCUGAUUUAGCAGAAUAGACGACCUUAGAAUCAACAGUCCAGGUUGUAUAAUCUGGACAGUCAUGCAUAGGUAAGAGCUGAGGUGGAGUAGAUUCCAUUAGUUGCAGCAAUUCACUUCUUCUUCUUCUUUUGUAUGGCCAAGUCCAGCUAUCAUCCCAGAUAAUAGCCGGGACUAUCAUUUUCAGAGCUCCUCAGAAGUGUAGGGAGGAGAGAACUCAUCCUUCAAGGGGCCUAAUGAAUGCCACCAGUCAAGGAAAGAUUGAGAACUAUCCCCAAAUGAUCAUUUUAAUACAAUCACGAGCAACAGGCCUUAAUUUCAGUAUCUUCUUCCACCACCAAGAGCUAUAUGACAUGGCUUGGACAUUCCACAAGCUCCCAUUUUUCAGCAAGUAUAGAUGCACCCAUUUGAUCCACAGGGAAUCUUUCUCAUGAAAGAUAUCCAAAUGUGCAUCAGUGCAAGUGCCUUAGUCCAGACUUAGAAACUUUUGAGUCCCAGUCCUCCUUGUCAGAGAGAUUUAGAUGCUUCGACCUCGGGUUUUCUAAUAUCAUUUCUUCUUUCUUUUUUGCCUUUGCUCAUCUUCUUUUGCUUUGGGAGAGAAGGAGAAAUGUUUCUGCCUUUUUAAACUUGCUGGUAGUAGUUAUUGACGGUCAACUUGUGAGUUAUACAAUUGACAGCCACAGAAGCUGCACUUGUUAUCUAGAUGUUCUUGCAUAUAUUUUGAUUUGGUCCCUUUGCCAGUAACAAGAAGUGUGCUGGAUGGAAUACAAAACAAUCUUCUCUUCUAUUUUGUAUAAAUACAUGUUUAAAGAUAAAUAAUUGUGUAGGUGCAUAUGCUCUAAUAUCACUGAAGCAUUCUAGCUAAAUUUGAGUUCUUGUGCCAGAAACUUCUUUCUGAGUUAGUUAUCCUAUGCAGUAUUCUUGCUGAAUAUAUGCACCUUUGUAAAACCUGUAUCCCUUUAUAUUGUGGCAGUAUUGCAGUUGCUGUGUCUUCUUUGCAUUUGUUGAGCAAAUAAUAUAUGCAUGACCGGUAGACUGAAUAUUUCAGUGGAGUUUUGCCAAGAGAGCCUAUGCCAUCAACUGCUGGUUUCAGGCUGCCUAGCCUGGAGGAGUUGGAUGCCUAUGCAGUUCAGCAAUGGGAGGUAUGAAGUCAUCUGUAUCUUAACUCUGCUAUUGCAAAUGGAAGUGUAGGAAUCGUUGUUUCUUUUCCUAUCCGAAUGUUUGACGAGUUAGUGUACUUGCUAUUUGUUCUGCAGUUUCAGUGAUUGGUAAAUAUUUUGGCCACUGUUUUAAUAAUAACUGGCUUGGCAAAACAGUGUUUUUUGCUGCAUCUGAUAAGCUCCAGUGUAGCUGAAAAGGCAACAACAAAUAUCAGCUCUUCCAUGAUGAAAGUUUUUCAACGUGGCCUUUUGAGUCAGAAGUAAAUCUACUACUCGGGUUUUUCAUACUUUUUCAAGUUUUGAAUAAAAUGAUUUAAGAGGUGAUCAAUAUUAGCACGUAUUGUUAGCAGAGAUGACAAAGAACCUCCAAGAUUGACUGAAGGUGGUUUUCAAUUCUUGGUGAGUGGGAAUCAAGUUUUCUCAGCUAUGUUACAUUUAUGAAAAUAUGCUGAUUCAUGAUUGUGCCAGCUGAUGGAUACAAAUGCACAAUUGUGGUAUAUCAUCAGGGAAUAUAUCGGCAACUCUGAGGUAUCAGUUCAUGAGGCUUUCUUUGUCUUAUGUGGCUUUUGGCUUUUAUUUUCACUUAGAUAAUCCAGCGUGCAAUGUCAUCCUUGCAAGAUUAAGAAAAAUUUGAAUAGUAAAUAGAAUUCAGUCUAUUUUAAACUAGUUUUAAAGUUUGCAAGGUUGCACGAUAUUUUUUUCAAUCAUAUUGUAUGCAUAUUAAUGGUACUUGCCUUUGCUAAUGAAAAUCUAGUAAUUUAAAUGUCAACAGAUAUGAAGUUAAUAUGCGGUGCAAGUGCAUAUGAUGUAGUUAGCUCAAACAGAAUGCUCAAGUUUUGCUUUUAUUAUCCAAAGCGACACCUUGAAAGUGUGAAAAAGAAAAAUAUUGAAUAUGUAUUUCUCCAUGAAAGUCUUUUCAAAAUUUACUAUGCCUUGACUUUUUUAGAAUUCAACAAUUAUACUGAUAGAGAUUGUUCAAAGAAAUUUCUUGGCUCAAUAAAUUAUUGGGCAGAUCUGAAGACCAAAGAAUCGGAGUGGAUAAAUGUUCUCCUUGGUUAAUUGCUGUUCCCUCAUUAAUCGAGACUGAGCUUUUGUCUUUCCAAUAAGACCUGCGAUAGAUGAAUGGAGGUUAAUAAGCCAUAUGGUUCAAAUUCAUGAACCAGGAAAUCAGUGGGGAUCAUAUACUUCAAAAAUGGCAUGGCUUUACAAAUCUUUCCUUUCCUUUCCCUCCUAUUCCUUUAAUGCACAAAUUACCUUAAAAUGAGUUCGAUAGAUUUAUCAAGUAGCAGGCUUUAAUUUUGACACCCUUCCCUGACCCCUGCAAACAACUAUGCCAAUCGCCACACCCAAUGAAGUGCAAAUCCACAAUAAACUGUAAACUUUAUUAUCUGAACCAUAGUUUUGUGCUUCCAGGGUGAUCCUUUUAACAUCCAUGCAAGGACAAAAAGAAUGAUUAUGUUUUGCUACUUGUGAUAUUGGAGUGAACCUUGCACCAACAAGAGAAAAAUAAAAGGGAAACGAGAAGAAAGGGAACUAAAAACUAUACACUGCUUUUGACAAAAUUGCACUAGUUGUGUUAUUGAGUCGUUAGUCUUGUCAUCUUUCAAUUACAUAUCUCAGGUGGAUUAUAUUUCUAAUUGAAGAUUUGAAUCUUUUCUGAGCUUUGUUUUGGUUUAAGAUAUAAAACUGCACUGAAAUCUUCUUUUAGGGCUAAGAAAAUGCUGUUAGUGAUUGAGCCUACAACUAUGACCAACUAAAAGGUUUUAAAUACUACUGACCAACGCUUUAGCCUUUUACUUGUAUUCUUCACCUUGGUGCAGGAGCGAGGCCUGGACUCAGCGGAUCUUGUAUCCUUUCUUCUGGAACUAAGCUUCCAUGCUACUGGAGAGGUAUUAAGUAAGAAUGUUUGGUUUCAUCAGUUCUAUUGCUUGAUCAGCUACUUUUUCUAAGGGGUUGGGAAACUAUAUUGGUUCCAUCACUUUGUGUAAGCUGAUUUUUGGCAUGGACAUGAUUUUGGUCCCACUUUUUAUCCCCUGAAAUAUUUUGUAACUUGUCAGUAUACUUGUCAUGAUUUGAUUUGAUUUAGUUCUGAAUGUAGGCUUAUAAUAUAAACACAUUGAGUGAUAUACAGAGGACUAUAAUUAGGGAUCUUGCUGAUUUGGGCCUUGUGAAGCUUCAGCAGGUAAUGUUAGUUGCGCUUAUUGGGUGUUUCAAAUGCUGGUCUUCUAGAAUUUUUGCCACCUGCAGUUCUUAUUGUGUUGGCUCUUUAUCAGGGAAGAAAGGAGAGUUGGUUUAUCCCACAAAGUUGGCUACAAAUCUAUCUAUCAGCUUAUCAGAUACAUCAUCCAGGAAACAGGUAAUUCUAGCCUAUCUGCGAUAUUCUAGAAUUUUGUUUGUUUACCAUGCUGUCCAGCGUUACUCCCAAUUAUCUGUGUUCUUAAAAAAAAUUGUGCUUAUCAUUGUUUGGACUGGACAUUUCAAAGGAACUUCCUCUAAACGGAUUUGCUUGUACAUUUCUUCAGCUAACUUAAUAUAUGUCAUAGCUUCUCAGUUGACUUUGAUGAAAUAGCAGAUUUUUUUUACUGAUUAUUAUUCAACUUUACUCCUAUCAGGGGUAUGUCGUUGUAGAGACAAAUUUCAGGAUGUAUGCAUAUUCAUCUUCCAAAUUGCACUGUGAAAUCUUACGUCUAUUCGCCAGGUAUGAAGUUACCGUGCUUGCUUAAGUUUCUUGAAAUCAAUAUCAUUGAGGAAGAAAAGAUAAAAGAUAUACUUGAUAUUCUUGAUGAAAAUAGAGUUUUUUUUUUAAACAGUUUUAUGUGUAUAGUUUAUAUCUUCUCAUGAGAAAUGCUUUUGUAAGUGAGCAACUAUUCACAAGGAUAUUUUGCAGAGCAGUGUAGAUAAUUAUGUUAUGUUGUACCAAAUUGAAACAAGUCUGUCGAGACCGGCUAUAUCUAGAAACGUACUCCAACAAGUUUAAGUUACAUAGAAGUUUAGAUCUUGACCAAAUGAAGAGGUUGGAGUACAGUUUUUGGCCAUCAUUCAUGGUUGCUCUGCUUACUAUGUAUGCAGAAAAUGACUGAAACUACUUAUAACCCUUAAAUUUCCUAGCUUGCUAGCCAUCUGCAAAGUCUUUUACUGGAUGAGGUCCUAGUCAGCUUCUGCAGACAUUAUUCUCAUACAUCUUUGAACCUUGGGGGAAUACAUUUUUACAUAGACCCUCCUGCAACUUGUGACACUAGUAUAUCUUGGAUGUGGUGACAAUCAGCUUCUAUGGCAGAGAUUCUCAUCCAUCUUUGAACCUUGUACAUUUUGUCAAAGAUCCUCCUGAAAUUUGCCUCGAUAGUUUAGCUUUUAACACAACAUUGAUCUAAAUGUUUAUGCCAGGUUUAAUUGUCCUGUCCUGUAAACUGAUAUCUCUUGACUGCAUUUCCAGCAAUUAGGCAAAGCUUUGUCUUUACAGCAGGGUAGGGCAGCAGGAUUUUGGGAACCAUAGUUGGUAGAAAAGGGUUAGAAGAUAUAUAUAUAUAUAUUGUUGCUCGAGUAAAAUAUAGAGAAGACUUCAAAUUAUGUACGCUUGAGUUAAAAGGUGCGCUUGUCUAUAAUGUGAUAGUCAUUAAGGAUGCGAGUAGUCCAGAAUUAUUCCAGUUUUGGUUCUCAUAGUUGAGUUAACAAAACAAUUCUGAUAUUACAUAUUCAAGUUAAAAAGGUUAAAUUUCCUAGCACCAUCAGCAUUUCACAUGUUGAUCGUUGAAUCUCAAAGUAAUUGUGCCAAAGUUGCCCUUGAGCUUGUGUAAGGCUGCAUGUCAAGCAGGACUACGAGAAAACUUCUUUUAUACCAUCUCGUUUUUGCAAUCUUCUUCGCAAGUUGAUGCAAACCAGAUUGAUGUGGAGCAGACUUUGUAAAAGAUCCAUUAGCAGUUCUCUUCAGGCUUGAAGAAAGAAUGGUGGAAAAGUUCUAUGGGGUGAAAAUAAAACUGAAAUUUCUUUUGCAACUGAUAGUGCAAUCAAACAUCAAAGCUUUCCUUUUCUCUUGUUUUUUCGUAUUGCCUAUAGUCCUAUAGUGUGACCUGACUAUUUUUUCCCUAAAUUAUUUGAGCUCCACAUUUGCAUUGAGGAAUUAGAGAACCAUCCGUAGUUCCAUAUGGCCAUUUACUCGUAAAAAAUUGAGUUGUAUUCUUGUUGUUGGUUUUUCCUUCGUGCAAAUGAGAACUCAUCUUUCUUUGUCUAGUUUGUUUUUGGCUAGUCUUUCUCAUGUAGCUUUACAGGUUGCAGGACCUCAACGUAAUUGUUGAAGGACUUUUUUAUUUUUUUUUGGGUGAGAGGAGAGAGAGAGAGAGAUUUGGCUAACAUAGGUCUUGCAACUUCUGCCUACUGUGUCCCCUAUUUGAUAGUUUGCUGAAUGUAGUGAUAGUUUAUGGAGUUGAAUGAUAGUCUGACUUUUGACAAAAAAAAAAGAAACGAAAAGAAUGAUAGCCUGUCUUACCAUCUGGGAUACAAAGCUAGAUUGCAUAAAGGGAUUUAUGAUCAUCUCCUGAAAAGGAAGAAACUGUUUACUGGGAAACACACGUUACUGACUUCAAGGUCAUAUGCUUUAGUCCUUAAAUCCUAUUAUAUAAUUAUAUUGCUUGUCUCUUUAUAAACUGUCUGGUUGAAAUUACAGGGUUGAAUACCAGCUUCCUAACUUGAUUGUUGGAGCAAUUACAAAAGAGAGUCUAUAUAAAGCUUUUCAAAAUGGUAUAACUGCCGAACAAGUAAGUAUUUAUUUGGUGUUUUACAAGGUUUAAUGUUACUUGAAAUUUUUUCCUUCCAAUCUCAACUUCUGCAAUUUAUAAAAUGGUAUGUGGGAUUUCGAUGUUUUGAUACAAUGUGUGGAUUUAUAUAUAUUUCCAAAGAGAAAUGUAUGGUAGAGAGUGGUUUUCUUCUUAGGUGUGAUUAAUGAUUAUUAAGAGGCGUUCAUGCAUACUCUAGUUGUGGUUAAUUGGGCUUGGUCUUGUUCCCAUAGUUUCUAACUGAUUGUGCAUGUUUAACUUAAUAAUCAUAUUUUAACUAACUUUGUUAUGUAUAAAUUACACGAGCACAAAAAAUUUUUUGUUGUCACAAGACAUUUGUAUCUGUUAUGUGUGUUACAUUAUAUGAUAAAAAAUCAACAAGUUACUUGAACCUUUAGUAGCGAGUAGAAGUGGCAAAAUGGAUAUAUGGUUGAUAAAUGGUUUUAGUUAAAUAAAUAGUGGAUCAAAUUGAUCCAAUCCAAUUAAAACCAUUUAAUAAAUGGAUCUAAAUGGAUUCAUUUAAAUGGAUAAUGUAAACCAUGAUCCAUCCAUUUAUCCAUUUACUCUCCAAAUCCUAAUUUAAGAUCCAAAUAUUUUUUCCAAUAAAUACAGAUCCCCAAAGUUCUAUCCUUAAAUCACCUAAAACCUUUUGGUAAUAACAAAUGCUUGUACUACUACUCUAUUUUAGUACUUCAUAAAAUUAGUUUAGUUCCAAGAAAAUUUAACUGCUGUGGUCAAUUUAACCUUUCGUCAUUACUUUAAGUAUCAUUUUGUAAGUAAUGAACAAUUAAAACUUGGCUACAUUUUUAUAAUACUUGAAUGAAUUGAAUACGGCUUUACAGUGAAAAGAAGUUUACGUUUCCAAUUUUUUGCACUCCUGUUCAGAGUGAUGUCUUGAUAAAAGUGGAGUUCUAACAAGAAAUCUUAUUAUUUGACAAGUAAAAUAUUUUCAUCACAUGUGCACGUAGUACCUAAAAUGUAUGAAACUCCUUUUAUACCAUUGAUAUACAACUACCUUAUAUUACUUAGUAAAUUAGUGUCUUUUUUUUUUGGAUAAUUGGUUAGGUGAUAAGGGGAGAGAUUGCACAGUAUGAGGAUUUGAAAAAAAAAGUGUCAUUACAUUAUUUUAACCAAUGUUGCGAGGACACUCGUUAGAAAAAUUCUUUUUAUAAAUAAAAGAAUUAAAAAAAUAAAAUUAUUUUGACACUGCCAUGAUGCAUUCUCGCUUUUUCUUUACGAAUAUAAAUGUUUUGCAAUCAUUACUACAAGAGAGUUUAAUUAAAAAAAAAACAAGAGUAGAGACUAAAAUAUAAUUUUGAAAAGGAUGAAGAAGUCUAGGAAAUAGAAGCAAAUAAAAUGCAAUUAAUGUUAUUAGCAACUUGGCAUGUGAGGAAGUUAUGAAGGAAAGAAUAGGUGGUCCCACAAAAUUAAUUUGACAUAUGAGGAAGUUAUGAAGAAAAGAAUAGAUGUCCCACAAGAUUUUAUCUCACAUUUUUAUAAAUGUAUUUUCUAUUUUUUAAGUUAAAUGGAUGUAUAUGGAUAAGAUGGAUAAUCCAUUUAAAUCCACCAACAUAAUUGGAUUUAAAUGGUUAUCCAUUUAAAACCAUUGAAUUUAUAUGGAUCAUCCAAAUCCAUUUAGGGUUGGUUUAUAUGGAUGGAUUGGUGGAUAUGAAUCCAUUUUGCCACUUCUAGUAGCGAGUGGAACACAAGUUACAAUAGUUGAACAUUCUGGAAUUUAUUAGUUUAGUAUUCUUUCCCUAUGUGACUUGAAAGGAUCCAAUGCUUCAUUUUCUGGAUGUUGUCUGUGGUUGGCCCAAACAAGUUAUCGCAAAAAUGAAAAAGCAAUCUCUCUUUCCAAAAUAUUUUGCAGUCCUUCAAAAAUAAUGUUUGAUCUGUCUAUAGGAUGAGUUUGGGCGGCAUUUUAUUAUAUUUUCACUUCUAUGUUAAUAGUUUGUUAUUAACAAAUUAAAAAAAUACGAGAUCUUAUACAUGAGAGAGAUCAAAGUUACUAGUCUUUGGGAUAAGAUCUCAUGAUGGGUCUCUAAAUGUUUACUCAUUAUGUUUAGCGAGGGAUGUAGUUUGCAUAGGAUUUAGUUAAUUCUGUAGCUAGACAGUUAAUUAUGUACUAUGUCCUUUUUUAAUUAUUUUUUUCAAUAUUAGCUGGUCAAUUUACUAAUUGACUAUAAUGUCAUGCAGCAUUAUCUUUUGUCUCUGAAAAUCAUUCUCCUUUUUUGUUGCGGUAUUGCAGAUUAUUUCUUUUCUUCAACAGAAUGCACAUCCUCGAGUUGCAGAGAGAAUACCUACUGUGCCUGAGAAUGUCACUGAUCAGGUUCUUCUAUCUUGUGGCAUUUCAAUCUGAUAUGUUUUACAUCCAUAUUUGUUGCUUCUUUUUUUGAUGUUUCAUGCUUCCUGGUUCCACUGAAUGUAAAUCCUACAGAUGAGGUUGUGGGAAUCAGAUUUGAAUAGGGUGGAGUGUAUACCUGCACAUUUCUUUGAAGAGUUCCCCUCUAGGGUAAGCAUCAAAGCUGAUUCUCACAACCAAGGUUCUUUCUUGUUGGUCUUGGAUCUGACAUUAUUGUGACUCUCUGCGUUUGUCUACCAGGAAGUGUUUGAGGCUGCAUGCGACCAUGCAAGAGAAUGUGGUGGUUUCCUUUGGGAAAAUUCUAAAAAAAUGUGGCUUGUAGUGAAAGCAGAAAGUUUUGCCUACAUGAAGGAGUUUCUUCGUGGAAAGAAGCAAUAGUCUUUUGGCACUUUCCUUGAACUCUGUAAUGUAGUUUGUUGGCAAAAGGUCCUCUCAGUGUAUGAAAAAUCGAAUUUAAAACAAAUCAUAAUCAAGUAUUUCUGGUUUGCCUUUUGGUUAGCUUUUCCCUUUAUUUUUCAUGUGUGCAAGCUUUUCUUUCUCAUCCUCUUUUUUACAUAAAUACGCUGAUGAAAUUGUUUCACUUUAAUCAAAUCCUAGAGGCAAAAAUUCGAAAUGCGCAUUAGUCACGAUGAGUUGGGAGUAAUAAACCUAAAACACGAUAUGAAUGUGUAUGGAAUGGUGGAAGUGCUUCAAGUUUGUUACAUCUUUCUAUGUAUGAUUCUUGAGCAAUGGGUCUUGUGUUAUAAUAAAAAAAAAAUUGUCAUCAUUUUUUUAUUUUUAAUGUACCCUUAUAUCGUAAGAUAAAAUAAUAUACAAUUAUCUCAUACUCUAUACUUGUACGGCUACAUAAUUGCUACUACAACACUUAUGUACUGUUACGUUUAUAUAAUUGCAACUACUAAUCAACUAUUACUACUAAUGGUUUAGGCACACCCACCGUGUGUGCAACUCAUAAAAAGAUAUUAAAAAUGAUUAGUAUUAUUUUUUUUGUUGGAAAUGGUUAAAUUGUUGUUAUAUGUUUAAAAAAAUGGUAUUUUUUUUUUAAGAGAAGUAGUAGUUAAUUCAACGGAUAUGGAGUGGUUGUAGAAAGGUGAAUAAUUAAAAUGAUAUAAUUCUAUUUAGAAGUAAGAGCAUAUUAGGUAAUACAUUAAAUGAUAUAAUUUGUUUCCAUCAAAACCCUCGCUCCUGCUUUAUAACUAGUAUUAAGAUAAGAUAUUUACCCCAAAUCUUCAUACUAACUUCAAUAUAAAAGAAUCUCAUAAUUAAUUCUUUUGCUGCAACUAAUCUAUUAUUGUAUAUUUUUUCAUUAUUUAUUUUUUCCCUGAAAUAUGUACACACAUAGUGCGUCUCGGCAAAUUUCUCAGAAUAUUGCUAAAAUAAAAAAUUGUCAUAAAAUUGAUGUGAUUUGAGGAUUGUUUCUGGUUUAAGGGUCGUCGCAAUUAUGAUAUGAGACUACCAAUAAAAGUAGUAUUAAUUUGUAUUUAUUUUUGCUGGCUUUAGUUUUCUAUAUUUUCUCCUCUUUUUUUUCAAGCUUUCGCCUCUCAUCAAAUGAGCGGCGAAGCAUCUCUACCGACAUUCACCACACAUUCACCACGACUGUUCAUCAGGACAUGACAGGGAAUGAUCAACGGUCUGCGGCACUCGGCCAUCUUUUUAUUUUUCCUAACGCCUUUAAAUUUUUUUUCUGACGCCGCAAAUUUGUCAAAUUUUUUUUCCUAACGCGUCAGUGAUGCAUCGUUCAUCACAUUGUGAUCAACGGACGCAGAUUGAGGCCAAAAAAUUUUUGUUUAAGUGAAAAAGCACUUUUUUUUAAAGCGAAAUCACAUUUUUUUUAAGUAAAACCGCAAAUCUCAAUUGCGGCGAUAGUUUUGCCACCAUCCAUCCCACCUAACAACGGUAACCAACGGUUGUAAUUGCGCCUCUUAUUAUUUUUUUAUAAAAAACUCUGACGGCCAAGCCCUAAUUUUUUUUUUAAACUAACGCCGCAAUUUGAAUUUUCAGCGUUAGUUUUUCUACCAUCGAUCGACCACGAAGUUUUUAGAUCUACAAAAUCAAAGGUACUGAUUUAGUCAAAAAACAAUUUUCAGUCAAAGUAGCACUACUCCAAUUAUAUUAUGUUAUCGACAAUAACCACUUAUGCCUCAUGUUCACGGACAAUCUCAACUUUUCUCUCUUCUCUAUAUUCUCACUUGAGAGAACCCCAACUCUCUCACGACUUUUCUCUUUCUCUUUCUGGUGUGGAAUUCUCAUCUUCUUCUUCAUCUUCUACCUAUUUCCCCAUUAGAUCUAUAAUUAUCUCUGGAUUUUCAACGGUAGGAUCGAAAAGAAAUUUUUUAAAAAAGCGAUAUACUCAGUGAUAAGGUUAGUUUAUUUAAAAGUUUUAUUAGUAAUAAUUUUAUAAUAUUUGCAUUUAUUUUAAGUUCUAGAUAUUAUGCUGCUUUUUCUUUAUUCAAUUUAAUAGUCAGAUGUUUAUUUAUGGUUUGUUUUUAAGAUUAAAUGUGUAAUUUAUUUUUAAAAGAUUAUUUAAUUUGUUUGAUUUUUAGAUAAUGUGGCAAGUAUUUGUCUGAUUUUUAGACUAUGUGACAAGUGUGUUUGUUUCAUGACAAUUUACAUUUUUGAAGAUGAUUUGUUUGAUUUUAGAAUUAAUUUUAUAGAGGCAGUAGUCUUUUAGGCGAAUGAUGAAUAAAAGGUGAAUGAUGAAUACUAAUAAAUGGUGAAUGAUGUCAAAUAUACUGUUAAUGGUCAAUGAUGAUAAAUGGUAAAUGAUGCUAGUAAGUAGUGAGUCAGUAAAUGAUAAAAGGUGAACGAUGAAUAAUAAUAAAUCGUGAAUGGUGAAUAGUGAAUGGUAAAUGGUAAAUGGUAAAUGAUAAAUAGUAAAUAGUAAAAUGUACGUGGUAAAUGGUAAAUAAUAAAUAGUAAAUAGUGAGUGGUUAAAAUUAAAUAGUAAAAAUAACAAUAAUACAAUAUGAGAUAGUAAGAUAGUAACUGAUAAUUUAAUAGUACCAGUACUAUUAAUCUAUAGUUUAGUAAUAUUAAUAUGAAUAAUAAAUAGUAAAUAAUACUAAUAUUUUUAAAAAUAUAAGUUACAAUAAUUUACAUUAUACAAUCAUAGUCUAAUAGUAACUAUGAUUAAUUAAAGAAGAACUAUUAUUCUAACAGUUUGAAUAAUACUAUUUGUUUGAUAACUUUAUCUUUAUUUAUUCAUUUGAAAUUGAUGAUUGUUUUAUUAGUGGUGCUAUUAUCAAUGAAAUCGUCUGUUGUGUUAAUAUUAGUAAUUAUGAGAAGUUGUUAAAAAAAUAAGUUGAUAUAAAAAUAUUUGUAAGAUUAGGAAAAAAAUGUCGAUGGACCUUGCAUUGGUGUUUUAAUUUUAUUGGGGAGGCAAAAUAAACGAGACCGGAAGAUCAUUCGCAUAUGAACCUCCACGGUAUAAAAAAGUCAUUUUAGUAAAACAUCGAAUAAGUUAUGAUGAAUUGGUGGAUAGCGUGUACACUUACAUGCAACUAGAUUGGAAUGUUUUCAAGUUGAAUCUAUGGUUUAGAAAUGUUGUUGGCCAAAAUAUAUUUACUGGAGUGCAAUUGGGGUGCGAAAAUAAUAUUGACAUGCUAUAUCAUAUAAAAUCGAUGUCACCACACACGUCAUGUGAAAUAUAUGUAGAAGUAGAGUCACAAAUCCGUCAUAUCCAUAGUGACCACGAUGGCAAAAAACAUCAUUAGUCCAAUUUGAUUUUGAAAAGAGGUCAAACAGCAUGCUUCGUACUACCGUAAGUGAAAGUGCAAGGAUGGUAAAUCAUUCUCUUGAUGAAUUACCUCAAAUGGAAAUUUUCAAUUCGACAAUCCUAUCGAGCAUAUCGGAGAGUAAAGGCGUUAAUGUUGAUCAAGACACAGAACCGGAACCCGACGGCGAUGAUUCGGAUGUUGAUGAGCAGGAUCAAAUUGAUGAAGAAUCCGGCAAUCCGCCGAUUCAAUUGGUGUCGGUCCAUCGAUCUCAUAUCGUAUACCAGUCCAUCUAAACGACUUUGAAGGUGUGGAAGCCUCACUGAAUUUUGAUCCUUUUAAGAAGGAGCUUCGGAGUACAAUGUGUGGAGAGAGCGGACAAAAAAUUUGAGAUGGUCUUUGAAACAAAGAACGAUGUGCAGCGAGCCGUCAAACUCUGGUCGAUCAAGCAUAAUAGGGAGUACAAAAUGCUGGAAAGUAAAACAACAAUUGGUGUUUGCUGCAAGUCCCAUAGUGCCUCGCUUCUAUGUAAUUGGCAGCUAAGAGCCACUCUUAGAUGCACACAUAACAUAUGAAAAUUGUAACAUUUUAUGAAGGAGCGCACAUGUGUGCGAGUUUCGAAUUCCAAUGACCACUGAUAGUUGAGUACAUUGUAUGGUACAAAAAUAUUACUGUUCGCUAUAUAGCACCUUCUGUUCACGGUAAGCAGUAGAUGAUGCUUAUCAGGCAGAUGGGGACAGUCGACUAUUUGGUAAAUUAUUAAAGACUUUCCUUUUUUUAUGUAAUCAUAUGACAUUACAUGUUGUUUAUUAACAUAUAACAUGACUACAAUACACAAAUUUCUCUUUUUUAGGUUGAUUCGAUCUCUUGGAUCGAUUCGAUCUGUGGGAUGUACCUCGAUCCCACAAAUCCAACGCAGCGUGCUCAUCCGGGACUAACGACCAUUCUUGAAGAGGCAUUUGGAGCAUUAUAGUACUUGAAUCUAGGAUAUAAACGGUAGCUAGUUCAUUCAAUCGUCAAGAUGUUGGCAGAUCUGCCUCUUCUGCUACCCCUUUUAGAUGCCUGUCGAGCAUCAACCUAGGGAGGUCCGUGGUAGAAAACAAGUAGUUAACAUCGCAGAGGGAGCCUCCACACAUGCUAUUGAAGUGUCGGACGAAAAUAUAACGCAGACUUCAUCAUUAUCCGGCUAUGAUUCACCUAUUGGCACACAUUUUUCUUAUACUGAAACUUUCUUCACACCUCCCACUCUGCUAGUUUUCGGAGGUCAUUUCAGUGACACACCUAUUCCCAUACUCGUAUUUGGCUAUACAUCUGUUGCUGCUACUGCACCGUCUAAUGCUUGAUACAACGACGUGUCCAAAAAUUAAGUUUUAGGAUAAUCUUGACCAAAUGUACCACUUCUUAGAGACCUCGGCUUGCUUCUCACCUGUUUUGCAUAUGGAUGACAAUAGUGUUCCCAUUAGUGCUCAUUUCCAAAUGUCUAUAGAUGGUUCUUGUCCUAGAUGCGAUCAAACUCCGGUAUUCGAUCCUUCCGUUGAUGAUGACGAUGACCAAUGCCUGAACAAAUUCAUGCACCACCUCAGUGGUCUGAAUGAUUACAAUUAGGACGAGAUCUACCAUACGAAAAGAUUCAUUGGAAAUGUGGCUGUUCUAUCACUCCGCGAGAUAAGGGCAAGAGGCGCGUUGAUGGGUGAUAUUUAGAUUUUUUGAAGUUUUCGUAUCAAAAUUCUCGUUUUAUUAUCAUUUAAGUUUAUAUGCUAAUUAUUUCAUUCUAUAAAUAUUGUUGAAUACUGCAUUAUUUAUCAUUAUUCAAAUUAACAUUAAUAUUAAAAAAUAUGACUUAGGCAAAUUUUAGAGUGUUUUUAAUAGCAUACUUGAUUAUCAUCUAAAUUUAAAAUUAACAUAAUUCUAUAAGGGUUUCGAAAUUAGGGAUUCAUGUUAGGUAAAAUGUUAAACCCUAAACCCUAAUUAAGCCUAAUUUAUUAUUAUUUAAGUUUAUAUGUUAAUUAUUGCAUUCUAUAAAUAUUGUUCAAUGCUGCAUUAUUUAUCAUUAUUUAAAUUAACAUUAACAUUAAAAAAUUUAAAAAAUGUGACUUAGGCAAAUUUUAGAGUGUUUUUAAUAGCAUACUUGAUUAUCAUCUAAAUUUAUAAAAUUAACAUAAUUCUAAUAUCGUAUAUUAAAUUUUUUGACAAUUCUGGUUUAUAAUAGGAUAUUAGUAAUACGAAUUAGGGAUUUUGAUUUUAAAAUUAGGGUUAAAGGGUUUAUGUUUAUAUUAAGGGUUACACUAUAAGGGUUUCGAAAUUAGGGAUUCAUGUUAGGUAAAAUGUUAAACCCUAAACCCUAAUUAAGCCUAAUUUAUUAUUAUUUAAGUUUAUAUGUUAAUUAUUGCAUUCUAUAAAUAUUGUUCAAUGCUGCAUUAUUUAUCAUUAUUUAAAUUAACAUUAACAUUAAAAAAUUUUAAAAAUAUGAUUUAGGCAAAUUUUAGAGUGUUUUUAAUAGCAUACUUGAUUAUCAUCUAAAUUUAUAAAAUUAACAUAAUUCUAAUAUCGUAUAUUAAAUUUUUGACAAUUCUGGUUUAUAAUAAGAUUUUAGUAAUACGAAUUAGGGAUUUUGAUUUUAAAUUAGGUAAAAAAGACACUUUUAUGGUUGUCAUGAUCUUUACUCUAAGCGGUUAAGCUUGAUCAAAAGAGACCAAGCUCUGAUACCAAUUGAAAGCCCCGAUGCAACCCAAUGAGUACAAACAAUUUCACAAUGAUGCACAAAGAUAUAUCAAAUUUAAGCACAAUAAAGAAAACUUAAUUAAAGAGAAAAGAUAAGAAAUGCAAACCAAAUAUCAAUCCAAUAGCCUCUUCAAUAGAUGGCGAUGCUAACCAAGAUGUACAUGUGAAGGCUCACUCCUUCCUCACCCCAAACACACUUUGGUUGAGCCAAGGAGUUUUACAACUAUUCUAGGUAACCCUCAACAACCUACACUUGAAAGAUCACUCACCCAAAAAAGAACUAUUUUAUACAAAUGAGGCAACCUUCACCAAGGUUUUACCACUCCAAGUGAUAAGUUCACCUUCACCAAGGUUUUACUCCUCCUAGAGAGUAACCUUCACUUGAGCAACCUCACAACCCAACUUCCCCAACCCCUUAUACAACUAACAAAGAAUCUUUCUACUCAAAAAUCUCACUUGUAAGCUUGUAUUUUGUGUUGGCAAAAGUCCCUUGUCUUCUUGUGCUUUGGGGUAUUUAUACAAGGUGAGAAAUGGCUUCAAAAGGCUCUCUAACGGUCAAAUAUUAAAUGCUGUCAAAACUAGCCGUUGGCCUGUCGGACGUCCGAACCACCUGUCGAACGUCCGAACCACGCGUCCAAACCACCUAUCGGACGUCCGAACCCUGCGUCCGAACGUUGACAGAGAGUCAUCAAAUCUUUGCAAAAUUUCUUGGACGUCCGAUGCGAUCGAUGUGCGUCCGAGGCGUGCGUCCGAUCCUUCCGGACGUCCGAUGCUUCCUCACGAGCGUCCGACAGAGUUUCCUUCUUGAUGUUCUUCAUCUUUUCGGACGUCCGAUGCUUCCUUUCGGACGUCCCACAUGAGUGCCCUGUUUUUGCUUCUCUUUUGUGCCACAAGAAUCUGUUCUAACAAUUUGCUCACAUAAAAACAUUAGCCCAAAUCUACAUUUUGGUUUGUUAAUCAUCAAAACCAAGGAUUGAUCGACCAAGGUCAACAUUAGGGUUAAAGGGUUUAUGUUUAUAUUAAGGGUUACACUAUGAGGGUUUCGAAAUUAGGGUUUCAUGUUAGGUAAGAUGUUAAACCCUAAUCCCUAAUUAAGCCUAAUUUAUUAUUAUUUAAUUUUAUAUGUUAAUUAUUACAUUCUAUAAAUAUCGUUCAAUGCUAUAUUAUUUAUCAUUAUUUAAAUUAACGUUAACAUUAAAAAUUUUCAAAAAUAUGACUUAGGCAAAUUUAUUAGCAAUUUAAUAGCAUACUUGAUUAUCAUCUAAAUUUAUAAAAUUAACAUUGUUCUAAUAUCAGAUAUUAAAUUUUUUAUAAUUCUGGUUUAUAAUAGGAUUUUAGUAAUAGGGUUUUAGUAAUACGAUUUAAGAAUUUUGAUUUUAAAAUUGGGGAUAAAGGGUUACACUGUUAUGGCUUGAAAAUUAGGGUUUCAUGUAAAAUGUUAAACCCUAAACCCUAAUUAAGCCUAAUUAAGGUUACGUUUUAUGGAAAAAAAAAAAACUUCGUCGCAGUUACAUUUUAUUAAAAAAAAAAGGAAAGUAUAUUCAGAAAAAACAAAUAAAAGCCGUUGCUCAUUGGAUGAGCGCGCGAUGAAAAAUGGCCCAAUUAAUGAGCGGCGAAACCUUUACAAAAAAUUAAAAAAAAAAGAAACUAAAGCAACCCAAAAUAAAUGAAAAUUAAAAGUAUUUUUAUUGGAAGCCUCACGUCGGAGAUGCGGCGACCCCUAAUUUGGAACCCACCCUCAAACCACACCAAUUUUCUGACAAUUUUUAAUUUUGACAAUAUUUCAAGAAAUUCGCCAGUGCAUCUCACCCACUAGUAUAUACGAAAUGGUUAGUUAGCAAUCAAUUUGUUAAGAUCCAACUAAUAUAUGUUAAAAUUGGUGCAAAACCACAACAAUCCCUUAAUGUCAAAAUUGGGCUAAUUGCUCAGAAUAUAUGUAAAAAAAAAAAACAUCGCACAAAUGUAUUUCUGACACACAGUUUCUCAUUCUAUACCUGCUGUGCUGAAUCAGCACAGCAGCAGAACGAAUUGUCAGAAACUCUGCAAAAAAGUUCGUGGGUCAGCGGCCCACAAUUUUUUUUAAUUAGCCUGUCCCCAGCCGUGCUGACUGGGCACGGCUGGGACAGGCGGUUAAAAAAAAGAGCCUUCAACAUGAGUGUGCAGGAGAAAUGUUAUGGGAAUUGGAGCAAAGAGCUAGGGAAGUAUCUGUAUUUAUCAACAUGCAAAGUUAAUUUUUACAACACAACCAUUUAAUGAACACUGGCAAAAUUUAGAAGUGUUCAAAUGACUUGGCAUGCACUUUCUUUGCUUUGAAGAUAAUAAAGAACUAAAAUUCAUUAUUGUUUCUCCAGUGCCAUUCUUUUCAUCUAUCACCCCAUCAUUUUUUUAAAAAAAAUUUCUGAAAGCUUUCUACUUGAAUUUUACAGGGCAGCUGACAACCAGGUAUUUCACGUGCCUCUCUUGCAAUAAUCUAUUCUUCAUCGCCAGAAACAAGACCAGACCUUUAUUAUCUUAUUGGGUUAUGAAUUAUGAUGGGAGUUAUAUAAGUAAGGCUCCGUUUGGAUUUGAGAGUCUUUGAAAUACUUGUUUUACAUCUAUAAUGCUACAGUAAUACACAAACAAAAACAACUCCAAAAACACCAUAUUCAAACAAUAUAUCAAAAACAACUCUAAAUAUACAAAAAAUAUAUUAAUAUAUAUAUUUUUAUAUAAAUAAUAUACAAAAAAAUAUAUUUUGUUUAAUAAAAAUAUAUAUUUAUAUAUAAAUAUUAAUACAAAAAUUAAUAUUUAUGUUUUGUUUAAAAUAAAUAUAUAUACUUAUAAAAUUAAUAAAAUAUAUAUAAAAAUAAAUAUAUAUAUAUUUAUAUAUAAAUAUUAAUAUAUUUUGUUUAAAAUAUAUUUAUAUAUAUUUAUAAAUAUAUUUACAUAUAUAUAUUUAUGUAAAUAUAUAAAUAUAUUUAUUUUUUAUAUAUUUAUAUAAAUUUAUAAAUAUAUUUAUUUCAAAAAAUAAAUUUAAUAAAAUAUAGAUACAAAAAAAUAAAUAUUUAUAAUUAUAUAUAAAUAUUAUAAUUUUGUUUAAAAUAUAUUUUUAUAUUUAUAAAUAUAUUUAUAUAUAUUUAUAAAUAAAUAUAUUUAUAAAUAUAUUUAUAUAUAUUAUGUAAAUAUAUAAAUAUUUUUAUUUUUAUAUAUUUAUAUAAAUUUAUAAAUAUAUUUAUUUCAAUUUUGUUUUGUAAUAUGUAUAUUAAUAUAUAUUAAUAUGCAUAUUUCAAUUAUGUGUAUUAUAUUAUAUAUAUAAAUUAUAUUAAUAUGUAUAUUUCAAUUAUGUAUAUUAUAUUAUAUAUAAAAAUUAUAUUAAUAUAUAGAAACAGAGCCAGUAUAUAUUUAAAAAAAUCUCAAAAAAAUUGUAAAUUAUAAAAAUACUCAAAAAUAUAUUUUAAAAAUACCUUUAAAAACAAUUCAAAAAACAUCUACAGUAAAAGUUUUUUAUAUACACAGUUACAGUAAAGUUUUUAAAAAACACCUCUAAAAACAGUUAAUCCAAAUGGAGCCUAAAUUUUUCAAGAAACACAAUAAUUAUAUCAUUGACAAAUGCCUGACUGGUUUUUCUUAUUCUCUUCAUUCCCCUUUGAUGAGCAGUCAGGUGAAAUUAUUGCAACCUCUGGCUCUGGGCAUCAGGGGGGAUACCUUUAUGGUGGGAACCUGCCUAUGGUAGGAAGGCCGGCAGAGAGCGACACGUGUUGACGUUAUAUACAGUCCAAACGGAGACAUUAAAUUCUUACACAACGCGUGAAGAGGAAAUAUACGAGAAUCGUCUGCGGAUGCAACCAGAAAGCACACUGACUUCCGUACGAGUUGGUCCAGGAAGUGUUAUUGCAUGUUAAAAUCAGAGGCAUUUAUGUAUUUGCAAAUGUACCCAUUACCAAUGGAAGAAUGUUGCAAAUGCCUUGGACAAAAAAUGUGCGUAAAGAAGGUAUCGAAAUUUUAAGAAAUAAUAAAUGAUUAUCGCACACGCGUGGGGAUAAUAAUUUGGAAGAAGGAAAAGUGGAGGUAAACGAAAGGAUUCAAGCCUUCAUUAUAUUUAUAUACAUAUAUAAAUUUAGUACCCAAGUGUUCAGCUGAAGCAUCCGGGAAAAUGGUCCCAUAAUUAUCGAUACGGUAAACAACACAGUUUUAGACAUGAUAUAAUAGGUUCUAAAAAUUUUGACCAUUUGAUUACCCGUUUGACCUAUCCACUUGAAUAGGAUUAUGGAUAAAAGUAAGGGAGUAAAUUUGUCAUUCAAAAUAGUAAGUUAACGUAAUAAAUUAGUAACUUUUGCAGUCGAAAAGGUAAAUUGUAAUUAAUAUGAAACAUACUUUUUAAAGAGAUAAAUUACAAUAGUAUAUCCCAAAUAUACUUUUGAGGGAGUAAGUUUAUUUUAAGUAAAAAUAUGUUUUUAUACAAAAAUAGUGAGUUUUAGUUAUAAUAUAGUAAAUUUGAUUAAUGACAAAAACAUGCUAAUUUAUGGCCAUAAUAUUGUAUUAUGCUUAAAAAACUUAUACGUAGCCCAUAUUUUAGAGUUAUUUGAAAUAACACAAAAAUGUAUUUUAAUGAUUAAAACUGAGUACGUUACUUAGUCAGUACAGUUAUUAUACUUGUAUACAUACUUGAUGGUAUGUGUAUAAAUAAGCAUUUUUGAGAUUUAUGGGGAAAAAUUGAUUUUUUCUUUUGCAGUUUAAAAAAAAGGUAAGCGAAAAUCUUUUUUCUCAGAGUACAAAAAUCCACAAGUCAAAGUUGUUGGUCUAAAGGGGAAAGAAACAUUCUGAAUAUCAUUGUUUAUAGUACUAAAUAAAUUAGAUGUAAAAUGCUCGUUAAAAGCAGGUGCGUUGACAUAUAAUAAAGGAAAGACAUAAAGAGCAGGCCAUUUACGGGAAAAGUUGUCAUUCAUAAAAAUAGCAACGCUUUACGGUUUUCUUAUCAGUCUUGCAACGUAUGAGCAAAAUGGCAAUAAUUAAAAUAGUAUUUUAUUCGAAUUAUACAUAUUUCAUUAAUUUUUUUCCAUUUAAAAAAUGAAUGAGAAUCUUUUAUGAGAAAGCACAUAAGUCAAAGGAAUGGUGUAAAAGGGAAAAGAAUAGCAUAUACGUACAAUACCUAUAGUUUAUGUUCGAAGGACUGUAGUGCUAUUUUUGAAAAAUAUCCCGAAAAAUAUGUAAUCGAAACGGAACCGAUUCUUCACUAUUUAAAAUGUCAAAUCUGUGAUUGUGUUGUAAAUGUUAUCCAUUGGUAUCGUAAAGUAUCAUUUUUCAUCAAAUUUCACCUCUUUAACACCAAUUUUCCCAUAAACCAAUUCAUUUAUCGGAUAAAAUACAUGAAAAUUAAGUUUUGAAUAAAACAGUAGCUGUUUAUGGCUUUCCUCCAUUAUAAGAAUAGAGUACCCAUUUUUGCAUAAACAAAUUUAUUUAUCAGAUGAAAUAAAAAUAAAUCCAUUAUUCAAUAAAACACUAAUUCUUUAUGCCUUUCCUCCAAUAUAAAAGCAGAGUACUCAUUUCAGCCCCUCUAGAAAAAUUCCACCUCUUUAACACCAAUUUCCCAUAAACCAAUUUAUUUGUCGGAUAAAAACAUGAAAAUUCGAUUUUUCAAUAAAACACUAGCUCUUUAUGGCUUUCCGCCAUUAUAAGAAUAGAGUAUCCAUUUUUGCAUAAACAAAUCUAUUUAUCGGAUGAAAUUAAAAUAAAUCCAUUGUUCAAUAAAACACUAACUCUUUAUGGCUUUUCUCCAUUAUAAAAACUGAGUAUCCAUUUUAGCCUCUCUAGAAAAAAAAUCUUGGCUUUGUCACUGACUGAAAUGUUUGUAACUGAGAUUUAUCCUUGUGAAAAAAUGUAUGAUACGUAAUUUUUUCAUUGUAUUGAAUUUAUAUGAUGGCAAAUUAAAUGGGUCAAUUGGAUUAGUGUGCAGCAGUUUUGUGAAUGAUUCUGAGAGUAAACUAUGUUAUGGCAAUAAAAUACAUUGAAUUGUGAAAAUUAUUAUUUCAACAUGCUCCUAAAUUUUGGAUAUGUGACUUUCGCUGUUGCGAAUAUCUUAAAUUAACAGUUAGUUAUUACUAUGAGUAAUGUGGUAAGUGUGAGUUGUGAAUGUCAGUAAUAACUGUUAGUUAAUACUAUCAGUAAAGUCAGCAGUAAAUGUGAGAUGUUAAUUGGAAUUUGCAGAUAUUAAUUUGACAUGGUUGGUUAUUAUCUGUUAGUUAAAAUUCGGGAGUUUUAAUUUUAUUGGUUAGUGGGGAAAAUGUGAAAGAAAUGUGAGAAAAACAUGAGCAUGAUUAUAGGAUUUGUACAAGCAAUUAAAGGAUUAGUUGUGAGAUAAACAUUUCUUAAUUUUAGAAAUGUAAAAUUGUAAUAAAAUAGUAUUCGAACUUUUGACAAUUUGGAAAGCUCCUUAUCUAAAAUUCUCUGCAAUACAUAUAGACAGAUAUAGAUGUCUUUUUUUUGGUGGUUGAAUGUCAUAUUCGCGAACUAUUUGCAGAAAAAAAUAAAUUUGUAGACUAAACUAAUUUUGUUAGACCAACUCUGUUAUUCUUAUUAUUGUAUUAAUUGUUAUGCUAUUUCUCUCAUUUUGUUAGAUCUACAUUAAUGCAAGUUUAAUUCCUAUUAUGUCUUGUGUCCCAGAAAAUACAUAUUAUCCUAUUUAGGUGGAUACGUCCAACUGAUAAUCAAAUUGAUGCUAAAAAUUUAGAAUGAAUAAGUUGCUUUUACAUAAUGGUUGGAAAGGUUUCUUGAGACUUUAUGAAUGAGGUGUCUUGCGGUUGCCAAAAGAAUUUGUAGCAUAUUUUUGUAUUAGAAAUGGAGUUAAAACUUGUUAUGGGUUACUUUUAUGUAUUUCAAUUUCAUCGUAAAGGGUAAUUUAUUGUUCAACCUAAUUUCAUUCUGAUUUUAUCUAACUAAUAAAUUAACGUAUGAAAAUGAUAAUUUAUGGAGGAAAGCCAAAAGUAGCUGGUACUUUAUUGAAAAAUGGAUUUAUUUUUAUUUUAUCCAAUAAAUAAAUUUAUUUAUGAAAAAUGGGUACUUAUUCUCAUAAUGGAGGAAAGCCAUAAAGCUAGUGUUUUAUUGAAAAACAGAUUUAAUUUUAUUUUAUCCGAUAAAUAAAAUUUUUAUAUGCAAAAAUGUGUAUUGUGUUCUUAUAACGGAGGAACGUGAUAAAGAGGUAGUAUUUUAUUGAAAAAUGGGUUCAUUUUUAGUUUAGCCAAUAAAUAAUUUUUUAAUGACAAAAUGGGUACUUUGUUCUUAUAAUGGAGAAAAGUCAUAAAGAGCUAGUGUUUUAUUGAAAACGGAUUUCAUUUUAGUUUAGUCGAUAACUAAAUUUUGUUUAUGCAAAAAUCGGUACUGUGUUCUGAUAAUGGAGGAAAGUGCUAAAGAGUUAGUAUUUUAUUAAAAAAUGGGUUUAUUUUAAGUUUAGGCGAUAAAUAAAUUUUUGUGAGAAAAUGGGUAUUUAUUCUUAUAAUGGAGAAAUGUCAUAAAGAGCUGGUGUUUUAUAGGAAAACGGGUUUAUUUUUAUUUUAUCCGAUAAAUAAAAUUUUUUAUGAGGAAAAUGGAUACUGUGCUCUUAUAAUGGAAAAAAGUUAUAAAGAGCUAGUGUUUUAACCUAAAAUCGGUUUUUAUUUUAUUUUAUUUUAUCCAUUAAUUUUUUAGGGAAAAAUGAGUACUUUGUUCUUAUAAUGGAGGAAAGGCAUAAAGAACUAGUGUUUUAUUGCAUAAAAGGUUUAUUUUUUUUCGUCCAAUAAAUAAAUUUUUUAAGGGAAAACAGGUGUUAAAGAGGUGGUAUUGAUGAAAAAAUGAUACUUUAGAAUACCAAUGGAUAACAGUUAAAACACAAUCACAGAUUUGGUAUUUAAAUAAUGAAGAAUCGGUUCCGUUUGCAUUGCAUAUUUUUCGGGGUAUUGUCAAAAAUAGUACUGUAGUCCUUCGAACGUGAAAUACAAGUACUGUACAUAUCUGCUAUUCCUUUCCCUUUUAGACCAAUCCUUUUGACUUAUGUGCUUUCUAUAAAAAAUUUCAAUUUUUUUUAAUUUACAAAAAAUAAAUUAAUUCUGUAUAAAUUGAAAAGAUUACUAUUUCAAUUAUUGGCACUUUGCUCAUGCUUUGGAAGACUGGUAAGAAAGCCGUGAAGAGUUGGAAUUUUUAUUAAUGAAAACUUUUUCCAUAAAUGGCCUGAUUUUUAUGACUUUCCUUUAUUAUAUGUCAAAGUACCAGUUUUUAACCAGCAUUUUACAUCUAUUUAUUUGGUACUUUAAACAAUGCUAUUCAGCUGUAUCUUUCCCUUUCAGACCAACUAUUUUGACUUAUGGAUUUUGGUGCUCUGCGCAAAAAAAAUUUCGCUUACUUUUUUUUUAAACUGCAACAGAAAAAAUUUAAUUAUAUAUAAAUUUCAAAAAUACUAAUUUUUUCACAUACGAUCAAGUAUUUAUACAAGUAUAUUAACAUUACUUACUAAGUAAGGUACUCAAUUUUAAUCAUUAAUAAAACAUUUUAGUGUUAUUUUAAAUAACAAUAAAAUAUGGGCUUCAAAUUUACUAUGUUAUAAGUAAAAAUGAUUAUUUAUAUAUAAAAACAUACUAUUAUUUCAAAUAAACUUACUCUCUCAAAAGUAUAUUGAGAAUAAAAAUUGUAAUUUAUCUCUUUAAAAAGUAUAUUUCGUAAUACUUUCAAUUCACGUUUUGGGCUGCAAAAAUUACUAGUUUAUUACGUUAACUUACUAUUUUAGAUGACAAACUUACUUCCUUAUUUUUACGCAUAAUCCUAUUCAAGUGGAUAAAUCCAACAGGUAAUCAAAUGGUUGCUAAAUUUAUUAUAACCUAUUAUAAUAAGUUUUUUUGCCAUAACGAUAGUCAUGGGACCAUUUUCCCGGAUGCUUAAGCUGAAUACUUGGUCACUAAAUUUAUAUAUGUAUAUAAAUAUAAUGAAGGCUUGAAUCCUUUCGUUUACCUCCACUUUUCCUUCUUCCAAAUUAUUAUCCCCCACACGUGUGCGAUAAUCAUUUAUUAUUUCUUAAAAUUUCGAUACCUUCUUUAUACACAUUUUUUGUCCAAGGCAUUUGCAACAUUUUUCCAGUCGUAAUGGGUACAUUUACAAAUAUAUAAAUGCCUCUAGUUUUAACAUGCAAAAACACUUCCUGCCCCAACUCGUACGGAAGUCAGUGUGCUUUUUGGUUGCAUCCGCACACGGUUUUCAUAUAUUUCCUCUCCACGCGCUGUACAACAAUUUAACGUCUCCGUCUUCCUACCAUAGGCAGGUUCUCACCAUAAAGGUAUCCGCAUGAGGGGACCAUUCUGAUGGCUGAAAUUAUUGCAACCUCAUGGGAUGUAUUUGACCCCUGGCCCUUUUUUUUUUUUUACCGCCUGUCCCAGCAAUGCCCAGUCAGCAUGGCUUGGGACAGGCCGCUGAACCACUGACAUUUGUGCAGAGUUUCUGACAAUUCGUUCUGUUGCCGUGCUGAGUCAGCACGGCAGGUAUAAAAUAAGAAAUGAUGUGUGUCAGAGAUACAUUUGUGCGAUAUUUUUUUUUUACGUAUAUUCUAAGCAAUUAGCCUCAAAAUUGACAUGUUAAUUUUUGACAAAUUUAAAAGUGUGUAGGUUAAUCUUGGAACUUGGAGAGAGAGAGAGACCUGUGUGACCAAGUACAACUUAACAUGGGUAUGCUAAUGAAAGCCCAAUGGCCGAGAAAAUCAGUUGCAGCUAACUCCAAAACCAGUUCUGGCCCAAUGAAACCCGAUAAUCACCCAUCCACGAGGGAAACCACGUCAACAAAUGAAGAAUCGUAGAAGAGGAAGAUGAUCAGGAAGAGCCAAAACGAAUUCCUCUUCCUCGAUUGAUGUUCUAACAAUUGGCGAUUUCAUUUCUGAAUGCAGAUAAAAUGAUAGUAGCAGUGAAAAUACUGCUACUUUAGUUCUGUAAACAAUGGUUUCUUUGGCCUUAGAUUCCACUAUCCUCCAAGAACAAGUUGUAGAAGAAGAAUCUUGAGCAGAAGUUUUAGUAGUAGUAUUAGUACGAGAACUAGUGGGAUUUCUCCUCCUGUUAUUGGUUUCAAGAGUAUCAGUAUCAGAGCCUUUCCCUACAAACCUUUGAUUGCUGCAGCUGCUGCUGCUUCAGAUAAUAAUCAAGAAGCAGAAGUAGAAGAAGAACAAGCAUCAAGAAGAAUUGUUCUGGACAGCCUCAGAGUCCUUGAGUGGGAUAAACUAUGUGACUCUGUAGCUUCUUUUGCUGGUACUUGUUUAGGCAAACAGGCCACCAAGGUAUUUCUAAUUUCUUGGAUUUCUUUCCAAUUUCCUAUCAGUACUACUGAUUGUGAUUCUUGGACCCUUUUCAUCCUUGAAUGAAUUUUUUUACCUCAUUGGAUGCAGGAGCAAUUGUGGUCAUUGAACAAAACGUAUGAGGAUAGUGUAAGGCUUCUUCAAGAGACAAAUGCGGUAGUGGAGAUGCACAAGUAUGGUGCCAUGCUGGACUUUGUUGGCAUUGACACUGCCCUUGUAAGUUUAACCGAUCAUUGUUAUUGUAGAUGCGGUAGAGAUUUUUUUAGUUUAAUUUUAUUUUGCAAUUAGACAAAAUUCUAGAAAUUCUUUGUGGGGUAUUUAUUCUGAAUAAGAAACAACUGAUACUUCUUUGGAGGCGUUGUUUUAGUAACUAAAAGCUACCAGUAAUGGUACACUAACCAGGCUAGUAUGAUUUUUGGAUGAAGGUCAAAUCGGCUAUACAAUGUGCAAAGAGAGAUUCCCCUGUUACUGGAAGUGAAGCUAUGGCCCUUGUUGCUCUCUUACAGUUUGCAGAGGCGUUGCAGUUUAAUCUGAAAGCUGCUGUUAAACAAGAUGCCGACUGGUAUCAGCGUUUCAUGCCUCUUUCUGAAAAGGUACAAUCUUCUUAGUUGAUUGUUGCAUCCCACUUUUGUGUACCUUUCAUUCUUAUUUAUUUAUUUAUAAUUGUUUUUUGUUGUCCACCCCAUUGACUUCCAGAUUUCAGAACUUGUUAUAAGUAGACCACUGAUAAGGUUCAUACAGCAACUUGUAGAUGAAGAUGGCUCUGUUAAGGAUUCUGCGGUAUUUUUUUGUUUUUGGUUUAACUCGAUUAUUCAAGCUUGUCACCACUUUUUGUUUCUUAUUGUUUGAUAAAUUUCAGUCUUUGUGUUUGGUAGAAGGGAGUUCUUAAUAGGUAUUCUAGGUUUUCAUGAUUAUUUAGUUCUUAAUAGGUAUUCUAGCUUUACAUGAUUAUUUACCCAGCUUCCCAUUCCUCCCAGUAUCUAUGAGCAUUUUGUUUUUUUGGCUUCUUGCAGCAACUGCAUUGAUAUUUCUUUAUCUUCUUAUAGUUUUACUUGUUUUCCAUCUCAGAGUUCUGCUUUGAAACAAUCCCGGGAGCAAGUACGCUUUAUUGAAAGAAAGGUACAUUGUAUUUGAAUGCCUGUGCUGAUUGACACUAUCAUGUUCCUAGCUCAUCCGCAUACACUUUAGUCAACAAACUUUUUACUUCAUUUUUCACUGAAUUCUCUAGCAGCUCCAUUUAGAAGAUAGUCUAUUAAAGACUGUAGUCCAACAGAAUACUACAGUUUACUCCAAACUUCAUAGAAGGGCCCUUGUGUACUUUUAUAUGUCAUUUGUGAACAUUCUUUUGAACAAAUAUCACUCUAUGGCCAGCUGACCUCGACAUGAGCUAUUGUUUCUCAUCUACCAAGAACUGUUGAUUCUACUCUAAGAAAUUGAUCUAGUGGGCAACCGGCAGAAAAAAAAAUUGCUGUUAGGUGAAGGCAGUAGACUAAAGUUUUUUGGCUUGACACAAAUGCACCUAAGAAUGUAGCUUCAUCUGUCCAUGUUAUCCAGGGAAUUACCCAGUCUUCCUUAAUACAAAGGACUGGUUACAUCAGUUUCCUUGAUGAAUGGUUAGUCUUUGAACAAGUCUAUCUGUCAAUUUUUUGUUUCCAUUUGUUUCUUCCUAUUGGACUUAAUAACUAGCAGAGAGUACCGCAGUAGGGUCAAAACCUCAAGGUCGUUGUUUUCAGACCGACCCCUUGGUCUACCAUCUAAAUCUAGCUGAAUUCCAUUUUGAAAUGUCAAAGAAGAUCUAUCAGUACGUAUGAUACAAGGUUGUGUAGCUUAUAAUUUUUCUUUUAUUUUGUUCGGAGUACAUCUUUACAUUUUCUAGAUGCUGCUGCAUCCCUUUUCUUGGUGGAAUAGUUGGCUUUGCUUCUUUUAUACAAAGGACAGUUAGCAGUUCAAUGCCCACAGCAUACAUUAUAUGUGAAGUUGGUUGUGUGUGUUAACUCUGCCUUAGAAUUUGUCCUUGUCCAGAUUUGCUUUCUGAUCUUUGCACCUUCUUAUCAGUUAUACCAGUUGAUGGAAAGCUUCAUCAGGAAUGAAAUGAAAGAAACAUCCUCUUUGGUGAGCUCCUUUGUUAGAUAUUUUAUAUUAUUGCACAUAAAUGAAAAUUGGAUAUGCUAUGACCUUUCCGGUUAACUUUUGUGAUGAUUUAGGUAGUGAGCAGUGUUGAUGGCAGAUGGUGCAUAACUUCAGGCACCAAAAUUCAAUCAUAUGUCAAGGGGCUACUGUUGUCAAGGUGCAUUGUAGAUCUUGCAGGCUUUUAUUAUCUUUUGCUUAUACUAAAGAUCUCCGCUGAUUAGAUUCUGCAUAUCAUUGUUUGUUUUUCUGUAUCAUGCUGUUGAACAAUAACAGAAUUGUGACUGCAGCAGCUGCACUUGGAAUACAAAAUAAAAUGAGACUGUCAGGAUCUCAUCUAAUAUCUUACACUGUUCACUUAUCCCUUAGGAUAAUUAUAGCCAUGUUAUUAAUUUUGGGUUGCUUUUAGAAGCGUGAAGAUAGGAAUCAAAUGCCAGUUGUAUUCUGUUCUUCAGUUUACCCAAAUCUAAAGUUAAUUUGACGUGUGGUGUUAAAAUAUCAUUUAACUAAAGAGUGCUACCUAAGGUUCUUGGUAUGCAGAAUGGCAUCAGCAUGAAUGAAAAAGUCAUUUAUUAUUUUUCCCAAGUGGAUAAGAGAUUUUUUUGGUACUGCUUCACAAUACCUUAUGUUUUAUCUUGAGAGCUUAUGCUCUAUUGUAGUGGUUCAGGUGCAGGUAGCAUUCUAGAACCCCUUUCUGCUGUCCCACUUAAUGACCAGUUGCAACAAGCAAGGGCAUCUGUUGCUAAGGCUGAAGCUGAUGUGCUUUUAAAGAUAACAAAGAAGGUUUUAAUUUAUUCCAAAUAAAGUUCCAGAAUUGCAAUGUCAAGUUCUUAAAGUAGAAGUGAGUAUAUUCUAAUAGUUUCCUUUGUUAAACAGAUGCAAAUGGAUCUUAAUGAGAUUGAAAUCGUGUUCGAUGAUAUGAUUGAACUAGAUGUGGUAAGUAUUUUUGAUGAAAACUAUGUUUCCAUAAUUAAUUUAAUUUGGGAUGGAGGGGAUUAUAUUGUUGAUGCACAAAAAUGGACUUCAGAAUUGUUGGGCUCUGAGAGAGCCAAACUCGGGGAGAAUUUAACCAUGAGCUAGAAUGGGAACCACAACCAUGGGCUUGACACCACAUCCAACCCAAAACCUUAAGGCAUUGGGUCUAUGGAUCAUUCCCACUUAUAUGUUCCUCAUUCUACUCAUCUCUUUCCAAUGUAGGAUAUUGAUUCACACUUGAUAUCCCAACAAUCUCCCCCUCAAUUGUGAAUCUCUUCCACAUCGGACCUCUCUCCCUAGGCCAUCCACUCCAUCAAGCCCACUUCAAUCUGGAGUGUACGAUUCUUGCUCAAGAGCCCACAUGCCCUUGCCUCACUGCAGGUCUGCAUGAUUUUUUUUUUUCCUGCUCUUAUUCAAGCCACACCUUACCACUCCCACUGGCUUUUUUUUAUCCUGGAGUCACUGCCCAGCCGAACCAUCGGCUCUGAUACCACUUGUUGGGCUCUGAGAGAGCCAAACUCGGGGAGAAUUUAACCAUGAGCUAGAAUGGGAACCACAACCAUGGGUUUGACACCACAUCCAACCCAAAACCUUAAGGCAUUGGGUCUAUGGAUCAUUCCCACUUAUAUGUUCCUCAUUCUACUCAUCUCUUUCCAAUGUGGGAUAUUGAUUCACACUUGAUAUCCCAACAAGAAUAACUCUAAAAAUGGGCUAAAGUAUUGCCUUUCUUGUGAAUUUAUUGAUGGUAGUUGUGGUGAUAUUCUGAUCUCCAUUUAUCUCGUACUUUUCCUUUAGGGUUAUAGAUAGGUCAUAUUCUGUUGUGCAUGAGAAGGGGAAGCAUAUGGGCAAACACUUUUCUGUGCACUAUUUUGUUUGCUUUUGGUUAAUCAAGGUCCAGAAUUUUGCUGAUACAGGGACAACUUUUCAUUUAUUUGUAUUUUCCUAAUUAUAUAUAUAAAACUCGAGUCAUUUUGAUCUUGGGGUUUGUUUAACGUUAUUUCUAUCAUAUUUCUUGGGAGAGUGAUUGCGUAUUUGACUGCAUAAAUGAAUUGUCAAUGGCAAUGGCAAUGAAUAUCAUAGCCCCUUAAUAAUAAUGGUUUUGUGAAGAUUUCUUCUUGUGAAAUCUCAUGUUUGGUAGGUAGGGUGGAAUAAGAAUGACUUUUCCAUUUUUAAUUUAUUUCAGCCUCAUCAGCUUUUCUAUUUACUCUCAUUUUCUUUUUCUUUAUUUUUUUCCCUUCCUUUUUCUUCAUCUCAUGCCCACUGCCACCUCCAACUCUCUCCACCGCAUAAUAUGACAAUCAAACUUGUGCUACAACUUCAGAUGUUAAAACCAAACGCAAAAAAUUGCACCUUCUAAUUUGUCCAGAAAAGAAAUCCUGAUCACGCCCAGAACUUCUUUGGUGCCAUGAGAUAGAUUUAUAAUUUUUUCUGAGUAAAAACCCACUUCUGAUUUUGCUAAUUUCUCCUGUUCUGCAAAGUGUGAAUCAAUCAAAAUUUGCUCCAAAUCCGAGAAUAUAUGAACAAAGACAACUGUAAACCAUCUUCCACAAUGAAGGAAGCAGAGAGAGAUCAGGAUGAAGCAGAUUGGAAUGUGAAAACAGAAGAGAGGGGCCAUGCUCUUCCUUUCCAUAUUUUUUCAACUUGAAUUUUUGUUUAUUUCUACUUUCUUUUAAAAGGUGGGUAAUGAGAGCUGAUAUUGCCCAAUUUAGUGGGUUUUGGGGGACUGGAAGACCCAGAAGUGGAUGAUGCAAAAUCCCAUAGUAGUAUACUGAGCAUAACCAGUGGGCAUCAUUACCUGUCAGUCAUUCCCAUUGAGGAGUGCAAAACCUCCCAACCAAGUGGGUGUUUCUUAUAGAUGCUUGGAUAUGGCAAUGCUAUUUAAUCAGCAUUCUGGUUUCCAUUUGCCUUAAAAUGUUGUAAUUUUCUGAACAGAUAAAUGCCAGAGCACGAUAUAGUCUAUCAUUUGGGGGCUCAUUUCCUGAUAUAUUUUUGCCACAAGCCGAGGAUGGUUGCCGUCCAUCUGCUGUUUUGUCAAAGGCAACUACUUCAGUGGUUUCUCAUCCAACCCAGAAGAAUUGGACUUUGUAUCUUCCGAAAGCUUAUCAUCCUCUCCUCAUUCAGCAGCAUCGGCAGAGACUAAUGAAGGCCAAGAAGGAUGUCAAUGAUGCUGUUGCUGUAAGUCGUGAGUUAAACUUUCUACUGCUACCUUGUUUUUCCUAUGGUAUUAAGUUUAUGGCUGAAUCUAUACAGACUCCAAUAUCCUUCUGUUUAUGCAUACCAAGUGAUGUAUUUGCAUAUGAAUCUGUUUGGCUCAUGUUAUUCUUCAUAAAAUUUUAUCCUCUUCUUGGAAUUUGGUUGGAGGAGAGGAUGGUGAUUUUUACUUGAGGAUUGUUUUCUCAACUCCAACUUUUGGUAUAUAUUGAAUUUAUGUAAUUUCCUUUUUCAUCAAAUGAACUUGAUGUUUUUUGACUCCAGGAAAUCAGGAGGAGAAAACAAGGAGGAAGCAUGGUGGGAAAGAAAGAAACAGAUUUAUGUAUUUCAUCCUUGGAACAGGAGGUUAUAUUUUAGGACUAAAAUCGAUCUUUCAUUUUAACUUCAUGUUUCAGUAAAGUUGAUACUUCAUAAUUUUGAACCUGGAUUUUUUUUUUGGUGAAGUCAGGUUGCUGAGUUACAAGAAGCUGGUCCAGUUCCUAGUGAUGUAUUUAUUGCUAGAAAUACUAGAGUUGUUGUAAUAACAGGCCCCAAUACUGGAGGCAAAACUAUUUGCUUGAAGACUGUUGCCUUGGCUGCCAUGAUGGCAAAAUCAGGUGAACUGUAGCAUUUUAAUCUUGAAUUGUCAGAAUUUUUCUUGCACACAAAGUGUAUCUAGCUUUUCUGAACAUAUUGUUCAAUUCACUACAUGAUCUAGGUAUCUAAGACUCACUGAAGGUAUUGUUUUUUCUACUUUACUCUCCAAGUAAAUGUUGUACAGAUUUCUUUGCAGUCUAGAUGAAAAGUUUAAGCUAUUAAAGUCAUAGGCAGGAGAGCAAUAUCAAAGAGUAAGGUAGGCAUGAGUCUUGGCUUCCCUAUGUUAAAACUCUAUGACCAGUGAAAUCUGACAACUAAUUUCGUUCAAGAAUAAAUCUUAACUUCCCUGUGUGAGGAAAUGGAGAAAAGUUAAUGAAUUCUAUGAAGACAAUCAUUUUCUCAAGCUAGCGUUCCUUGUUUUAUCAUUUAAUUAGAUUUUUAAUAAAAUUUUUACCAGCAAUCUCUUUGUAUUCUGCUUCUUGAAACUAUCUAAUCAUAAAAGAUGGUGCGAUCAAUGAUACUGUUAUUGCUAAUAGCAGAUGAUACGAGUCAAAUAUUGAUACUGAACACAUGACCUAAUAGGUUUAUAACUGAGCUGAUUGAUGGCGGUUGAGAUAUGAUUUGGGUGCCUUAGUACAUUUAUCUAUAUCUGGUCAGAGCAAUUUGAAGUUUUCCCGUAACAAGUAAAUUACAGGAAAAUAGAAAAGGUUAUUUUGAAAGAAUGGGAAGAACAGAUAACGACGCGAAUAGUGUUGUACUGUGGUUUAACUUUCUGUCAAAAAUUUUAGGUAUGAUGUUCUACAUUUGCUUGUCUCUCUUUGGAGCAUGUCAUGGAGCUAUUAGGAGGGUACCCUAUUAUUAAUGAAAUCUCUGCUUUAAUUCUGUUUUUGCAGGUAUAUAUGUGUUAGCUUCUGAACCAGUAAAGAUCCCUUGGUUUGAUUUUGUCUUUGCGGAUAUUGGUGAUGAACAGUCCUUGUCUCAGUCUCUGUCUACCUUCUCUGGCCAUGUGAAGCAAAUUAGUGUAAGUUGGUUGUUGUUAAGGAUUUUGCACUUUGAACAUGGCUUUUAUAUAUUGUUUUCGUUUCCUUGCUAUCAAAAGGAAUUUAAGGUGCACACGUGGAAUUUCAUUUUGUUAGUAGUUACAAAAUGUCUCCUGUUGCAAAAAGGCUCGAUAUCCCAAUCAUCUUUAGGUAACUUAAGAACCUCUCAUGAAAGAUACAAUCUCCAAUUUUGUGAGUUAUUUCCCCCCAAGUUGUAGUUAAGAUGACAGAGUAUCUUGAAGUCCAUUUCUCAUGCAGUAAAGCUAAAUGUCAUACAUGUUGUAUAUUUGGCUUGCAUGAGGAGUUUUUUGGUAGGUGUUGAUGACCAUAACAAAUCUAAAACUAUAUCUCAUUUUACUUGACAACAUAGAAAUAUCCCCAACCUCAAAAGACAAUCAAGUGGAUUGAAUAAAUAGUGUGUUUAGUAUAUGCCUUUUUGGAUAAGUAAUGGGUAAACAUCAAUAAUCAGUUGCUGUUUAUCAAUUUAUGAGUAAGUAAAUGUGCAAUAGUGCAUAGUUCGUUUGUUAGGACUGAGCCAGGAAAUAGACAAAUCCAAGUUAGGACAAAGUAGGCGGUAUAACCGACCAUAUAAUAGAUAGGCGGUAGAUACCAGCCAUAUAAUAAUUAGGCGGUAAAACCGACCAUAUAAAGACGGAUAACAAAGCAAAUAAAAGACACAGAAGAUUUACGUGGUUCGGUCAAAUUGACCUACGUCCACGGGCGAGGAGGAGCAAUAUUUCUACUAUGAAGAAGAAAUACAAAAGACCGUAGGAAAGUUUCCUAGGCCAAUAGGCACUUACAAAAGAGUUUAGAAAAUAUUCCUAAACUCAAAACAAGAGAGCCUAAAAUAUUUGACUGAAUGGGCUAGAUGACUCAAGAAGCUAAUAGCCCAUAUAACUCUCUUGAGUGGUGCGAGUUAUUCCUUCAUAGGCUCCCUUAUUUAUAGGAAACCAAAGGAAGAAUUCCUUUGGCUUCUCGAUGUGGGACGAAGCACCAAACAUUUGGUCAACAAAUGCGGCUUCAACAAAUCUCCACCUUGAUGAGUCCCACAUCGAGAAUAUAAACUUGCUCCACCUUCUCACAUAAGCCCCAAUGGGCUUAAAUCACCAAUAACGAACACCAACCAAGUCCAAGCACUGCUUGAACUUGUAAACUGGAAGAGGUUUCGUAAACAUAUCGGCUGGAUUGUCCUUAGUAUUGAUUUUCUGAAUAAGGACUUUUCCCUCAGCAAUGAUAUCCCGAAUGAAGUGAUACUUCACAUCAAUGUGUUUCGUCCUCUCAUGAUACAUCUGAUCUUUAGUCAAGUGUAUGGCACUUUGACUAUCACAGUGAAUAUCAGUAACACCUUGAUAUAGACUUAGCUCGCUAAAUAAACUCUUCAACCACAAGGCUUCUUUGAUUGCCUCGGUCACAGCCAUAUAUUCUGCUUCAGUAGUAGACAAAGCUACGACAGGUUGUAGAGUAGCUUUCCAACUAACAGCACAACCGCCAAUGCAAAAUACAUAGCCUGAAAGUGAUCUUCUCCUGUCAAGAUCCCAGCGUAGUCUGAGUCUACAAAACCAACCAAAGUGUUAUUAUUUCUUCCAAACUCCAAACAUGCAUUUGAAGUACCUCGCAAGUAUCUGAGAAUCCACUUCACAGCUGCCAAUGUUUACCAGGGCAAGACAUAUAUCUGCUAACAACACUGACUGCUUGUGCAAUAUCUGGACGAGUACAAACCAUUGCAUACAUAAUACUGCCGACUGCACUGGAAUAAGGAACCCGUGCCAUAUAAUCUUCCUCUUCAUCUGAUUUUGGUGAUUGAGCAGCAGAUAGCCGAAAAUGGCUAGCAAGAGGAGUAGAUACUGGUUUAGCAUCUUUCAUGCCAAAACGCUCCAAAACUUUCUCAAGGUAAUUUUUCUGGGUCAAGAACAACUUCCCUACUCCUCGAUCUCGCUUGAUAUCCAUGCCAAGAAUUUUCUUAGCUGCUCCCAAAUCUUUCAUUUCAAAUUCACUAUUUAACUGCAGUUUCAAAGUGUGAAUUUCUGACAAAUUCUUGGCAGCAAUGAGCAUGUCAUCAACAUAAAGCAGCAAAUAAAUGAAAGAACCAUCAUUUAACUUCCGGAAGUAAACACAACUAUCAUACAUGCUCCUCAAAUAACCAUGACCCAACAUAAAGGAAUCAAACCUUUUAUACCAUUGUCUUGGAGACUGCUUCAAUCCAUAUAAGGAUUUCUUCAAUAAGCAAACAUGGUCUUCCUUACCUUCAAUUUCAAAACCCUGGGUUGUUUCAUAUAAAUUUGUUCUUCAAGUUCGCCAUGUAAGAAAGCUGUCUUAACGUCAAGCUGUUCUAACUCCAAAUUAUACAUGGCAACUAAAGCAAGCAAAACACGAAUAGAGCUAUGUUUAACAACAGGUGAGAAUAUAUCAUUAAAAUCAACACCUUGUACCUGACUAUAGCCCUUUGCAACCAAUCGUGCUUUAUAUCUUGCAUCUUCAACCCCUGGAAUACCUUCCUUUUUCUUGAAGACCCACUUGCAACCAACAAUUUUCUUAGCUGACGGCGGCUUUACAAGAACCCAAGUUUCAUUCUGAUGAAGAGAUUCAAUUUCUUCAUUCAUCGCAAUCAACCACUUUGCAGAAUCAUCACAAGAAACUGCUUCUGAAUAGGUGGAAGGCUCACCAACUGCAUCAGUUUCUUCUGCAACAGACAAAGCAUAUGCAACUAAAUUUGCAUAUCUUUGUGGUGGUCGAAUGUCUCUCCUUUGUCUAUCUCUGGCUAUGGAAUACUCCUCUUCUUCUGAACUAUCUUCAACAGUAGAUUCAGGUGCAUCUACUGGCAUUUGUUGAAUAGAAGAUUUGGACUGAGAAGGACCAGAACUGCCAAUAUCAAGCUCCACCUGCUUCUGUGUACUAUCAGUAGUACAAGGACUAGAAGACUCCUUCUUGGAAGAUAACAUAGACAAUUCAUCAAAAGUAACAUCUCUACUGAUACAAAUUUUGGAGAUUUGGGAUCAGGACACCAUAAUCUGUAUCCUUUCACCCCAGAAGCAUACCCAAGAAAAAUGCACUUUUUAGCCCUAGGCUCCAAUUUUCCAUCAUUCACGUGCAUGUAUGCUGGACACCCAAAAACUUUUAAAUUGGAGUAAUCAGCAGGAGUACCUGACCAAACUUCCUCAGGAGUUUUGAAAUCAAGAGAUGCAGAAGGAGAACGGUUGACAAUAUAACAGGCCAUAUUGAUCGCCUCUGCCCAAAAGUCGUUUGUCAACCCUGCAUUGGAGAUCAUACAUCUUGCUCUCUCCAAAAGCGUUCUGUUCAUACGUUCGGCCACACCAUUUUGUUGAGGCGUCAUCCUGACGGUGUGAUGCCGAACAAUUCCUUCAUUCUUGCAGAAUUCAUUAAAUUCACCUCCACAAAAUUCCAUGCCAUUAUCUGUUCUCAACCGCUUAAUAUGCUUUCCUGUUUGUUUCUCAAUCAAAACUUUCCAUUGCUUGAAAGUUAGGAAAACAUCAUUUUUAUGCUUAAGAAAAUAGACCCAAACUUUCCUUGAAUAAUCAUCAAUGAAAGUCAACAUGUACCUGGCACCACCUUUAGAAGGAGCACGAGAAGGACCCCAUAGAUCUGAAUGAAUGUAAUCAAGAGUACCUUUUGUCUUGUGAAUUGCUGGUGAACUGAAGCUGACUCUUUUCUGCUUCCCAAAAAUACAAUGUUCACAGAAUUCCAAUGGACCGGUACUUUGUCCACACAGAAGUCCUCUUUUGCUUAGUAUGCCCAAGCCUUUUUCGCUCAUGUGCCCCAAACGCAUAUGCCAUAAUUUGGUGAUGUCUGUAUCUGACAAAGAUGAUGUUGAAACAGCAGCAGCACCUGUCACAGUAGAUCCCUGCAAAAUAUACAAAGUACCAGAUCUGUGUGCCUUCAUAACAACAAGAGCUCCUCGAGUGAUUUUGAGAACUCCGUCUCCACCUGAAUACCUGCACCCGAUAGACUCAAGAGUGCCCAAAGAGAUGAGAUUUUUCUUCAAAUCUGGAACAUGUCUAACAUUUGUGAGCGUCCUCACAAUACCAUCGUACAUUUUAAUCCGGAUUGUGCCUUUGCCAACAACUUUACAAACAGCGUUGUUGCCCAUUAAGACAACUCCACCUUCAGUUGAUUCAUAUGUUGAAAACCAGUCCCUAUUGGGACACAUAUGAUAUGAACAACCCGAAUCUAAAAUCCACUCAUUGUUAGACCUAAAAUUAUUUUCCGUUGCACAGAAAAUGGUUCCAUCAUUCUCAUCAGCUGCUAUACUAGCUUCAGCGGAUUCAGUAUUUUUCUCAACAAAUUUCCCUUUUGCUUUUCUUUAUUUUUCAAUUUAAAGCAAUCAGAGAUAACAUGGCCCUUCUUUUUACAAUAAUUGCACACCACAUUUUUAUGUCUGGACUUGGAUCUACUUCUAUUUUCUGUGUUUCUCUUUUCAGAUCUACCCCGAACAAACAAGCCAUCGGCUUGACUCCCACUAGUUUCCCCAGUAAUAUCCCUAUCUAUCUGCUCUUUAGAUUUUAAUGCAGAUUUAAUUUCCCGAUACGAAAUUGUUUCCUUUCCAUAAAUCAUAGUAUCGCGGAAAUGCUUAAAAGACUGGGGAAGGGAACACAAAAGUAAUAGGGCUUGAUCUUCAUCAUCAAUUUUCGAAUCUAUAUUCCCCAAAUCCAUAAUAAUGGAAUCAAAUUUAUCAAGAUGGGAGAGUAUAGAUGUACCUUCAGACAUCCGAAGCAUGUACAAACUCUGCUUCAAAUAUAGCCGAUUCUCGACUGUCUUCUUCAUAUACAAGGCUUUCAAUUUAUCCCACAUAGCCUUGGCCGAAGUCUCCGUUGCUACCUCACGCAAUACCUCAUCGGAGAGAUUUAAGAUUAUGCUGGAUCUGGCCUUCUUAUCCAUAUCGGCGAAAUCCGCAUCCUUUACAUCUUCUGGUUUGUUCUCGAUUCCGUGAAUCGCUAGAUCAACUCCGUCUUGAACAAGAAUGGCCUCCAUCUUGAGCUGCCACAUUCCGAAGUUGACAUUCCUGUCGAAUUUCUCGACAACCGUCUUUGUUAUCGUCAUUGUUGCCACAAAAUCUGUAACUUGAAGUUUGUCUCAAAAAACUGGCCAAACAAAUAUGCAAGUCUCGUGAGCGGGCCCCACAGGGUGAGCGGCCCCACGAGAUAAGCGGGCCCCACGGGAUGAACGGACCCCACAAGGUGAGCGGGCCCCACAAUAAACGGACCCCACAGGAUGAGUGGGCCCCACAGGAUGGACGGACCCCACCAGAUGAACGGGCCCCACCAGAUGAACCUGUCUUGCAAAAUAUAACAACCAGCUCUGAUACCAGUUUGUUAGGACCGGGCCAGGAAAUAGACAAACUCAAGUUAGACAAAGUAGGCGGUAUAACCGACCAUAUAAUAGAUAGGCGGUAGAUACCAGCCAUAUAAUAAUUAGGCGGUAAAACCGACCAUAUAAAGACGGAUAACAAAGCAAAUAAAAGACACAGAAGAUUUACGUGGUUCGGUCAAAUUGACCUACGUCCACGGGCGAGGGAGGAGCAAUAUUUCUACUAUGAAGAAGAAAUACAAAAGACCGUAGGAAAGUGGUUCCUAGGCCAAUAGGCACUUACAAAAGAGUUUAGAAAAUAUUCCUAAACUCAAAACAAGAGAGCCUAAAAUAUUUGACUGAAUGGGCUAGAUGACUCAAGAAGCUAAUAGCCCAUAUAACUCUCUUGAGUGGUGCGAGUUUAUUCCUUCAUCAGGCUCCCUUAUUUAUAGGAAAUCAAAAGAAGAAUUCCUUUGGCUUCUACCGAUGUGGGACGAAACACCAAAAGCAUUUGGUCAACAAAUGCGGCUUCAACAAAUCUCCACCUUCUCGAUGUUGGGGACUCAUCAAGGUGGAGAUUUGUUGAAGCCGCAUUUGUUGACCAAAUGCUUUUGGUGCUUCGUCCCACAUCGUAGAAGCUCAAAGGAAUUCUUCCUUUGGUUUCCUAUAAAUAAGAGAGCCUGAUGAUGGAAUAAACUCGCACCACUCAAGAGAGUUAUAUGGGCUAUUACUUUCUUGAGUCAUCUAGGCCAUUCAGUCAAAUAUUUUAGGCUCUCUUGUUUUGAGUUUAGGAAUAUUUUCUAAACUCUUUUGUAAGUGCCUAUUGGCCUAGGAACCACUUUCCUACGGUCUUUUGUAUUUCUUUUUCAUAGUAGAAAUAUUGCUCCUCCCUCGCCCGUGGACGUAGGUCAAUUUGACCGAACCACGUAAAUCUUCUGUGUCUUUUAUUUGCUUUGUUAUCCGUCUUUAUAUGGUCGGUUUUACCGCCUAAUUAUUAUAUGGCUGGUAUCUACCGCCUAACUAUUAUAUGGUCGGUUAUACCGCCUACUUUGUCCUAAUUUGGAUUUGUCUAUUUCCUGACCCGGUCCUAACAAACUGGUAUCAGAGCUGGUUAUUAUAUUUUGCAAGACAGGUUCAUCUGGUGGGGUCCGUCCAUCCUGUGGGGCCCACUCAUCCUGUAAGGGCCGGUUCAUUCGUGGGGCCCGCUCACCCUGUGGGGCCCGCUCACGAGACUUGCAUAUUUGUUUGGCCAUUUUUUGAGACAAACUUCAAAUUACAGAAUUUGUGGCAACAAUGACGAUAACAAAGACGAUUGUUGAGAAAUUCGACAGGAAUGUCAACUUCGGAAUGUGGCAGAUCAAGAUGGAGGCCAUUCUUGUUCAAGACGGAGUUGAUCUAGCGAUUCACGGAAUCGAGAACAAACCAGAAGAUGUAAAGGAUGCGGAUUUCGCAGAUAUGGAUAAGAAGGCCAGAUCCAGCAUAAUCUUAAAUCUCUCCGAUGAGGUAUUGCGUGAGGUAGCAACGGAGACUUCGGCCAAGGCUAUGUGGGAUAAAUUGAAAGCCUUGUAUAUGAAGAAGACAGUCGAGAAUCGGCUAUAUUUGAAGCAGAGUUUGUACAUGCUUCGGAUGUCUGAAGGUACAUCUAUACUCUCCCAUCUUGAUAAAUUUGAUUCCAUUAUUAUGGAUUUGGGAAAUAUAGAUUCGAAAAUUGAUGAUGAAUAUCAAGCCCUAUUAUUUUGUGUUCCCUUCCCCAGUCUUUUAAGCAUUUCCGCGAUACUAUGAUUUAUGGAAAGGAAACAAUUUCGUAUCGGGAAAUUAAAUCUGCAUUAAAAUCUAAAGAGCAGAUAGAUAGAGAUAUUACUGGGGAAACUAGUGGGAGUCAAGCCGAUGGCUUGUUUGUUGGGGGUAGAUCUGAAAAGAGAAACACAGAAAAUAGAAGUAGAUCCAAGUCCAGACAUAAAAAUGUGGUGUGCAAUUAUUGUAAAAAGAAGGGCCAUGUUAUCUCUGAUUGCUUUAAAUUGAGAAAUAAAAAAAGCAAAAGGGGAAAUUUGUUGAGAAAAAUACUAAAUCCGCUGAAACUAGUAUAGCAGCUGAUGAGAAUGAUGGAACCAUUUUCUGUGCAACGGAAAAUAAUUUUAGGUCUAACAAUGAGUGGAUUUUAGAUUCGGGUUGUUCAUAUCAUAUGUGUUCCAAUAGGGACUGGUUUUCAACAUAUGAAUCAACUGAAGGUGGAGUUAUCUUAAUGGGCAACAACGCUGUUUGUAAAGUUGUUGGCAAAGGCACAAUCCGGAUUAAAAUGUACGAUGGUAUUGUGAGGACGCUCACAAAUGUUAGACAUGUUCCAGAUUUGAAGAAAAAUCUCAUCUCUUUGGGCACUCUUGAGUCUAUCGGGUGCAGGUAUUCAGGUGGAGACGGAGUUCUCAAAAUCACUCGAGGAGCUCUUGUUGUUAUGAAGGCACACAGAUCUGGUACUUUGUAUAUUUUGCAGGGAUCUACUGUGACAGGUGAUGCUGCUGUUUCAACAUCAUCUUUGUCAGAUACAGACAUCACAAAAUUAUGGCAUAUGCGUUUGGGGCACAUGAGCGAAAAAGGCUUGGGCAUACUAAGCAAAAGAGAACUUCUGUGUGGACAAAGUACCGGUCCAUUGGAAUUCUGUGAACAUUGUAUUUUUGGGAAGCAGAAAAGAGUCAGCUUCAGUUCACCAGCAAUUCACAAGACAAAAGGUACUCUUGAUUACAUUCAUUCAGAUCUAUGGGGUCCUUCUCGUGCUCCUUCUAAAGGUGGUGCCAGGUACAUGUUGACUUUCAUUGAUGAUUAUUCAAGGAAAGUUUGGGUCUAUUUUCUUAAGCAUAAAAAUGAUGUUUUCCUAACUUUCAAGCAAUGGAAAGUUUUGAUUGAGAAACAAACAGGAAAGCAUAUUAAGCGGUUGAGAACAGAUAAUGGCAUGGAAUUUUGUGGAGGUGAAUUCAAUGAAUUCUGCAAGAAUGAAGGAAUUGUUCGGCAUCACACCGUCAGAAUGACGCCUCAACAAAAUGGUGUGGCUGAACGUAUGAACAGAACUCUUUUGGAGAGAGCAAGAUGUAUGAUCUCCAAUGCAGGGUUGACAAAUGACUUUUGGGCAGAGGCGAUCAAUAUGGCCUGUUAUAUUGUCAACCGUUCUCCUUCUGCAUCUAUUGAUUUCAAAACUCCUGAGCAAGUUUGGUCAGGUACUCCUGCUGAUUACUCCAAUUUAAAAAUUUUUGGAUGUCCAGCAUACAUGCACGUGAAUGAUGGAAAAUUGGAGCCUAGUGCUAAAAAGUGCAUUUUUCUUGGGUAUGCUUCUGGGGUGAAAGGAUACAGAUUAUGGUGUCCUGAUCCCAAAUCUCCAAAAUUUGUGAUCAGUAGAGAUGUUACUUUCGAUGAAUUGUCUAUGUUAUCUUCCAAGAAAGAGUCUUCUAGUCCUUGUACUACUAAUAGUACACAGAAGCAGGUGGAGCUUCAUAUUGGCAGUUCUGGUCCUUCUCAGUCCAAAUCUUCUAUUCAACAAAUGCCAGUAGAUACACCUGAAUCUACUGUUGAAGAUAGCUCAGAAGAAGAGGAGUAUUCCAUAGCCAGAGAUAGACAAAGGAGAGACAUUCGACCACCACAAAGAUAUGCAAAUUUAGUUGCAUAUGCUUUAUCUGUUGCAGAAGAAACUGAUGCAGUUGGUGAGCCUUCCACCUAUUCAGAAGCAGUUUCUUGUGAUGAUUCUGCAAAGUGGUUGAUUGCGAUGAAUGAAGAAAUUGAAUCUCUUCAUCAGAAUGAAACUUGGGUUCUUAUAAAGCCGCCGUCAGCUAAGAAAAUUGUUGGUUGCAAGUGGGUUUUCAAGAAAAAGGAAGGUAUUCCAGGGGUUGAAGAUGCAAGAUAUAAAGCACGAUUGGUUGCAAAGGGCUAUAGUCAGGUACAAGGUGUUGAUUUUAAUGAUAUAUUCUCACCUGUUGUUAAACAUAGCUCUAUUCGUGUUUUGCUUGCUUUAGUUGCCAUGUAUAAUUUGGAAUUAGAACAACUCGACGUUAAGACAGCUUUCUUACAUGGCGAACUUGAAGAACAAAUUUAUAUGAAACAACCCCAGGGUUUUAAAAUUGAAGGUAAGGAAGACCAUGUUUGCUUAUUGAAGAAAUCCUUAUAUGGAUUAAAGCAGUCUCCAAGACAAUGGUAUAAAAGAUUUGAUUCCUUUAUGUUGGGUCAUGGUUAUUUUAGGAGCAUGUAUGAUAGUUGUGUUUACUUCCGGAAGUUAAAUGAUGGUUCUUUCAUUUAUUUGCUGCUUUAUGUUGAUGACAUGCUCAUUGCUGCCAAGAAUUUGUCAGAAAUUCACACUUUGAAACUGCAGUUAAAUAGUGAAUUUGAAAUGAAAGAUUUGGGAGCAGCUAAGAAAAUUCUUGGCAUGGAUAUCAAGCGAGAUCGAGGAGUAGGGAAAUUGUUCUUGACCCAGAAAAAUUACCUUGAGAAAGUUUUGGAGCGUUUUGGCAUGAAAGAUGCUAAACCAGUAUCUACUCCUCUUGCUAGCCAUUUUCGGCUAUCUGCUGCUCAAUCACCAAAAUCAGAUGAAGAGGAAGAUUAUAUGACACGGGUUCCUUAUUCCAGUGCAGUCGGCAGUGUUAUGUAUGCAAUGGUUUGUACUCGUCCAGAUAUUGCACAAGCAGUCAGUGUUGUUAGCAGAUAUAUGUCUUGCCCUGGUAAAGCACAUUGGCAAGCUGUGAAGUGGAUUCUCAGAUACUUGCGAGGUACUUCAAAUACAUGUUUGGAGUUUGGAAGAAAUAAUAACACUUUGGUUGGUUUUGUAGACUCAAACUACGCUGGGAUCUGACAGGAGAAGAUCACUUUCAGACUAUGUAUUUUGCAUUGGCGGUUGUGCUGUUAGUUGAAAGCUAUCUACAACCUGUCGUAACUUUGUCUACUACUGAAGCAGAAUAUAUGGCUGUGACCGAGGCAAUCAAAGAAGCUUGUGGUUGAAGAGUUUAUUUAACGAGCUAAGUCUAUAUCAAGGUGUUAUUGAUAUUCACUGUGAUAGUCAAAGUGCCAUACACUUGACUAAAGAUCAGAUGUAUCAUGAGAGGACGAAACACAUUGAUGUGAAAUAUCACUUCAUUCGGGAUAUCAUUGCUGAGGGAAAAGUCCUUAUUCAGAAAAUCAAUACUAAGGACAAUCCAGCCGAUAUGUUUACGAAACCUCUUCCAAAUUACAAGUUCAAGCAGUGCUUGGACUUGGUUGGUGUUCGUUAUUGGUGAUUUAAACCGCAUUGGGGCUUAUAUGAAGAAGGUGGAGCAAGUUUAUAAUCUCUCGAUGUUGGGGACUCAUCAAGGUGGAGAUUUGUUGAAGCCGCAUUUGUUGACCAAAUGCUUUUGGUGUUUCGUCCCACAUCGGUAGAAGCCAAAGGAAUUCUUCUUUUGGUUUCCUAUAAAUAAGGGAGCCUGAUGAAGGAAUAAACUUGCACCACUCAAGAGAGUUAUAUGGGCUAUUAGCUUCUUGAGUCAUCUAGCCCAUUCAGUCAAAUAUUUUAGGCUCUCUUGUUUUGAGUUUAGGAAUAUUUUCUAAACUCUUUUGUAAGUGCCUAUUGGCCUAGGAACCACUUUCCUACGGUUUUUUGUAUUUCUUCUUCAUAGUAGAAAUAUUGCUCCUCCCUCGCCCGUGGACGUAGGUCAAUUUGACCGAACCAUGUAAAUCUUCUGUGUCUUUUAUUUGCUUUGUUAUCCGUCUUUAUAUGGUCGGUUUUACCGCCUAAUUAUUAUAUGGCUGGUAUCUACCACCUAUCUAUUAUAUGGUCGGUUAUACCGCCUACUUUGUCCUAACUUGGAUUUGUCUAUUUCCUGGCCCGGUCCUAACAGUUCGGUUUAUUGGUCUCCAAUCUCAAGGCACUGAAUGGAUAGAACACUAAAUUAUAAGAAAAAAUUGUCAGUUAACCAUUAUUCUGUAUUAUUAGGAUGUUGGCAUCAUUAGGUCAUAUUUUUUAGCCCCAUAUGAAGACAUUCAUAGUUUUGAGCAAACUUAGGCAGAAAUAAUACUUUUCUUCAUUCCAAUUGUUUGAAAUUUUUUUGUAAGCUUAGCCUUCUUCUUGAUGAUUUUAUAUCGUAAAUAGACUUCUCUACAUUGACAUGGCUGUGCUGCUGGAAGCAUUUGUUCGGGGUUUAAUUAAGAGCCUUUUAGCAUGUUUUAUGCUCACAGCUCCAACAUCAACUUUUUGUUGCUUCUUGUAUAAUGCUUGCAACUGAGAUGUUGAUUAGUGGAUUUUUGAUCUACUACUUCUUAGCAUUCACACUCUUCAGUGAACUGUAAGAGAAAGGAAGAACUAUGUUUGGGCCUCUUCCUGAGAGACCAUGCACUCUUAAAUGCUUGAUUACAUAGAAUUAGUCCUCUCUUGCUUGCAGUACUGGGAUGUACCAUCCUUCUGAUUGCCAUGGUUAAUUCUGCUUUCUAAACUCAUACUGUUACCUGAUUUUUUACUAAAACUUUGCUGAGCUAGUUCCUUUAUUGACCUGGCUACAUGAUUUUGCUUACUCUUUUGCAGGAAAUUCUAUCUCAUUCAACAACUUUGUCAUUAGUGCUACUAGAUGAAGUAUGUGCUGUGAAGAAGUUCCUAGUUUCAUUUUUUAUUUUUGUUGGGACAAUUUACAGUUCAUUUGUUUGACUCGUUUAUGUGAUUUAAUUUAUAGAGACCCUGCUUGUUUAGAGAUAGCACCAUGCAUUACCUCCUUUUAUAGGUGGGCGCAGGAACAAAUCCCCAAGAAGGCGCUGCAUUGGGAAUGGCAUUGCUUGAAUCUUUUGCAGAGGCUGGUCCAUUACUAACAAUGGCAAACACAUCAUGGAGAACUUAAAACCCUUAAUACAGGUAGUUUGCGAGAAGGUACAAUUUCUUGUCUAACUGCAUGCCAAUCUCGAACUGAUGGCUUCCUGUUGGAAAACACGACUGACAGCAAUACAAUGUGGAAGACAAACAGAGCCACAGUGGCAACCUCAUCGUCUCCUGGGUUCGAGGCAAGCGAGUGGCUCUCACUCGACAUAAAAUCGCCCAAAUCGUCAAACUAAAGGACGAAGGAGAGGAUGUGAAAUUGACCAUGAGUUCAAGGCACGUGACCCAUGGCAAGUGGAAGAAUCUGUGGCACGUCUUAAGGGUCAAUAUCGGGAGCGAGGAAGUUCGAAGAAGCUCAUUGUGUACGCCGAUUCCUUUGAGCAUAGGUACCAUCUGAUCUUCUAUCUCUUCGCCUUCAAUGUGGUACCCAAAAGGAUUGGUAAACGGAGCUCCGGCAACAGUGACCUAACUUCUCGAUGAAAAAUGAUGCAUGAGUAUAGGUAAUGCAUAUGACUGGAAUUCUCCUGCCCAGCAUCAUUAUCAGCUUACAUGAGCCGACCACAGCCUCGCAUGGGGCCGGUCAUACAUGUUUCGGGUUCCCCCGGCUCCUCUCCCUCAUUUUUGAGAAGCUCAAGGUUCCUCUUGGAACCGAACGAGCAGUGGUGACUCGGUCUGCUGAAGAGGUCAAUGCCUCUAUACUCAAGGCUUUAGGCAUUCCUACGGAUUUUGGAGCUGCUCUAGUUCGGGACACAAGAGAAGCUUCGACCUCCACUCAGCCUCCACCUCACACUGAACAACAAGAGCAAGCUCAAGAGACGGAGGCACAGCAGACCCUUCCUCCUCCCACUCCACGACCACCGCCUCCGCCGCGAUCCAAGUUGCAAGAGAUCCUCAAUGCCAUCUGCUGCAUGGAGACACGUGUGAUGGAGCGCAUUGACCAGACCGAGCAGAUGAUGACUGAGCGACUAGACAGGCAGGAUCGUCGCCUUCGAGCAAUGGAGGAUCAUUUCCACAUUCACCGCUCACCUACUCCUACCCCUCAUCAAGAGGAGGGGCCUAGUGGUACAUCUCAGGGAGCUGAGGAGGCAGUAGACCCUCGUUCUGCGCAGUCAUGAAGACCUUCCGAGGAUUCCAUCUUUUAUUGCUUUAUUUUUCUUUUAUUGUGUUCGGUUCAACCUUUGUAGUUUUCUUAUUGGAGUUUCUUGUUCUACCUAUAAGAUAAUUAGUACCCUUGAUGUUUGGAUGGUCGUGAGGAUUAAGGGGUUGAAACUGCAUCACCGCUUACCAAGUGGGAAGUUUUGUUUUCUUGUACCUUCCUCUACAAUGAGGACAUUGUAGAUUUUAAGUGUGGGGGGGGGGAUUACAUACAUUUUGUGGUUAUUGUGUCUUGAAAUGCAUGAAUUUGAUUGUCUAUGGCUUAAACUUUUAUUUGGAAAUAUUGUCUUGAGGUUGUUGGCAGGGAGUUUUGUCCAUUUUUAUGGGGAACUCUGUCAAAAUUUUCCUAAAUAUAUUUUCCAAUAUUAAUGGCCAAAAUGUUCACAUUUUAAGUGCUCAAACUGUUCCAUUGGAUAGAAUGCUAUAUGUAUUUUGGAAGGUUUAGUCCUUAUUUUGUUUGGCAAGAAUUAUUAUGCUUAGAAAGUAUAUUCGGUUAAAUAAGAAAAAUUAUGCUUACAAAUUUGCAAGGUUAAUGAUAUUUCUCAUUUUCACUUCAUUUUAUAAGUAAGUGAUUGAUAUAGUCAAAACAAGGCCAAAUUCUUCCUUUAAUGAUGUUAGAGGGAAAAGAAAUCAUUUCAAAAAAAAAAGAGAGACAGAGAAAAAAUAUAUAUAUUAAUCUUCUACUCCAAUGAUUCACAUACCGAGUAACCGGGGGUUGGCAUCUACAGACCCAUACAUUCGCGUAAAAAGGUAUCGAAAUUAAGAGUAUGCUUAGCAAUUUUAAUAAGUGAAAUGUUGAAUAACCCAGAAUCUUCACAUAAAAGUGUCGAUUUUCGCGUAAAAAGGCGUUUUCACUAUUAAAAUAAAAUGGAAUAUGAAUAAAUCCCUCUCAUUAGUUAAGUUUUGCUGCUAUAAAUGCAUAAAUGUAUAUAAAUAUUUAAACAAUAAAAAUUAUAAAUUACAAAUAAUAUUAAUUAUACAUUUAUACAUAAUAUUAAUAUAUAUUUAUAAAUUAUAAUUUAUAAAUUUUUAUAAUAUUCAUUUAUAAUUUAUACAUUUAUAAAUAAAUUUAUAUUACGUAUUAUAUAUAAUAUAAUACAUUUAUACAUUUACAGUUUUUUUAUCAAUACAUAAAUACAUUUAUUUAUGUACAAGUUUAUAAAUGUAUUAUAAAUGUCAUUUAAGAAAUUUAACUUUUCCACUACAUGAUAGCAAAUUAGAGAAAUUGAUUAAUCAAUUAUUACUAGUAUCAAUAACAAAAUAAUAAAAUACUAUUCUUGUUCAUUCUUAUUUUUUAUUUCACUAUAAAUAAUAAUUGCUAACUUUUCUUUUUUAUGCGGUAUAUAAUAUGUUACUUUUAAUAUAAGUUGUUGAGUAACUACGAAUUCUCAAUUAGUUUAUAGAUACUUAAAUUAUUGAAUUACUAGAUUAAUACACUUUGCAAAAAUUGUUGACGUACUAGAUUAUUACACUUUACAACAUCAGCUACAUAUAUUUUUUAAGAACAAAGAGUUUAUGGUAAAUUAUUAAGAAUGAAUUUAACAAAUAAACAAAUUUAAAAAGUAAUUUAAAAAUUAUUACAAUUUUUAUGCAAUUUUCUAGGAAUUCGUAUUUAUCGGAUGCAACAUAAAGUCCAACCAAAAAGCUUGCUAGAUUGGUGUUGAUUUAUUCCCCCAAAUUAUUAUCAACUAUUGAUGUCAAUAUUAUGGGAUUUUUUUUUUCCUGUUGUGAUGAAUUUAGAGCCUUAAGCAGUAAAAUUUGUAGAAAUUUGCAUUGCAAAUUGUAAAUCAAGAAUUCAUUUACAAUUUUCAAUGAAUUCAUAAAGCAAGACAGAAUGGCAUUACAACUGAAGCAAAAAGAAUAAUUUUUAGGCAAAAUCUAGAAUCCUGUUAUUGGAAAGCAAACAACAUAGGUACAUAGUGCAUACUUGAUCACUAGCAAUAAUCAUAACUGUAAAAUUGCAGCUUGCAGCGCCCACUGGACAAGGAGGUUUUGUCGUUUAAUGCGAGGUACAUGACCUCGCAUUUCAGAAAUGCGAGUUAUAUGUACCUCGCAUUUGUGAAAUGCGAGGUCAUGUACCUCGCAUUUCUGAAAUGCGAGGUUACCUAUUUUUUUUUUUUACUUUUGCUGUUACACAAUUUAAGGCAGUUCGCAUUUAUCAAAUGCGAGCUCAAGGAGCUCGCAUUUGAUAAAUGCGAUCACCCCAAAAACAGAAACUAGUACACAAAAUACCCCCUUUGUAGAAUUUUUUAAAAUCAUAAUAAUUUUAGAAAUUUUUCAGUUUAAAUACAUCAGCAAACCUCGCCCCGCAAAUAAGGAAAAGUUGCAGAUGCCCUUCAAGAUUAGAGAUGUUCUUAUGCAUGUCAAUGUUGCUAUUAAGUCAAAAAUGGAUGCUACUAGUUCGUCUGCAUCAAAGGGAAAAAGAGAAGCUGAUAUGACUCUUGCCGCUUAUGAUUUAUGAAGAUGAUGGCUUUCUUUUUUAACCUUUGCCUUAACAUGCAAUCAUCUUGAACAGUACAAUAUGUAAAACAGGGAUUAGUCAUUGUUGCCUUUGGAUGACUUUCUGUUUGGAAAAAUUUCUAAAAUUAUUAUGAUUUUUAAAAAAAUUCUACAAAGGGGGUAUUUUGUGUACUAGUUUCUGUUUUUGGGGUGAUCGCAUUUAUCAAAUGCGAGCUCCUUGAGCUCGCAUUUGAUAAAUGCGAACUGCCUUAAAUUGUGUAACAGCAAAAGUAAAAAAAAAAAAUAGGUAACCUCGCAUUUCAGAAAUGCGAGGUACAUGACCUCGCAUUUCACAAAUGCGAGUUAUAUGUACCUCGCAUUUCUGAAAUGCGAGGUCAUGUACCUCGCAUUAAACGACAAAACCUCCUUGUCCAGUGGGCGCUGCAAGCUGCAAUUUUACAGUUAUGAUUAUUGCUAGUGAUCAAGUAUGCACUAUGUACCUAUGUUGUUUGCUUUCCAAUAACAGGAUUCUAGAUUUUGCCUAAAAAUUAUUCUUUUUGCUUCAGUUGUAAUGCCAUUCUGUCUUGCUUUAUGAAUUCAUUGAAAAUUGUAAAUGAAUUCUUGAUUUACAAUUUGCAAUGCAAAUUUCUACAAAUUUUACUGCUUAAGGCUCUAAAUUCAUCACAACAGGAAAAAAAAAAUCCCAUAAUAUUGACAUCAAUAGUUGAUAAUAAUUUGGGGGAAUAAAUCAACACCAAUCUAGCAAGCUUUUUGGUUGGACUUUAUGUUGCAUCCGAUAAAUACGAAUUCCUAGAAAAUUGCAUAAAAAUUGUAAUAAUUUUUAAAUUACUUUUUAAAUUUGUUUAUUUGUUAAAUUCAUUCUUAAUAAUUUACCAUAAAGUCUUUGUUCUUAAAAAAUAUAUGUAGCUGAUGUUGUAAAGUGUAAUAAUCUAGUACGUCAACAAUUUUUGCAAAGUGUAUUAAUCUAGUAAUUCAAUAAUUUAAGUAUCUAUAAACUAAUUGAGAAUUCGUAGUUACUCAACAACUUAUAUUAAAAGUAACAUAUUAUAUACCGCAUAAAAAAGAAAAGUUAGCAAUUAUUAUUUAUAGUGAAAUAAAAAAUAAGAAUGAACAAGAAUAGUAUUUUAUUAUUUUGUUAUUGAUACUAGUAAUAAUUGAUUAAUCAAUUUCUCUAAUUUGCUAUCAUGUAGUGGAAAAGUUAAAUUUCUUAAAUGACAUUUAUAAUACAUUUAUAAACUUGUACAUAAAUAAAUGUAUUUAUGUAUUGAUAAAAAAACUGUAAAUGUAUAAAUGUAUUAUAUUAUAUAUAAUACGUAAUAUAAAUUUAUUUAUAAAUGUAUAAAUUAUAAAUGAAUAUUAUAAAAAUUUAUAAAUUAUAAUUUAUAAAUAUAUAUUAAUAUUAUGUAUAAAUGUAUAAUUAAUAUUAUUUGUAAUUUAUAAUUUUUAUUGUUUAAAUAUUUAUAUACAUUUAUGCAUUUAUAGCAGCAAAACUUAACUAAUGAGAGGGAUUUAUUCAUACUCCAUUUUAUUUUAAUAGUGAAAACGCCUUUUUACGCGAAAAUCGACACUUUUAUGUGAAGAUUCUGGGUUAUUCAACAUUUCACUUAUUAAAAUUGCUAAGCAUACUCUUAAUUUCGAUACCUUUUUACGCGAAUGUAUGGGUCUGUAGAUGCCAACCCCCGGUUACUCGGUAUGUGAAUCAUUGGAGUAGAAGAUUAAUAUAUAUAUUUUUUCUCUGUCUCUCUUUUUUUUUUGAAAUGAUUUCUUUUCCCUCUAACAUCAUUAAAGGAAGAAUUUGGCCUUGUUUUGACUAUAUCAAUCACUUAUAAAAUGAAGUGAAAAUGAGAAAUAUCAUUAACCUUGCAAAUUUGUAAGCAUAAUUUUUCUUAUUUAACCGAAUAUACUUUCUAAGCAUAAUAAUUCUUGCCAAACAAAAUAAGGACUAAACCUUCCAAAAUACAUAUAGCAUUCUAUCCAAUGGAACAGUUUGAGCACUUAAAAUGUGAACAUUUUGGCCAUUAAUAUUGGAAAAUAUAUUUAGGAAAAUUUUGACAGAGUUCCCCAUAAAAAUGGACAAAACUCCCUGCCAACAACCUCAAGACAAUAUUUCCAAAUAAAAGUUUAAGCCAUAGACAAUCAAAUUCAUGCAUUUCAAGACACAAUAACCACAAAAUGUAUGUAAUCCCCCCCCCCACACUUAAAAUCUACAAUGUCCUCAUUGUAGAGGAAGGUACAAGAAAACAAAACUUCCCACUUGGUAAGCGGUGAUGCAGUUUCAACCCCUUAAUCCUCACGACCAUCCAAACAUCAAGGGUACUAAUUAUCUUAUAGGUAGAACAAGAAACUCCAAUAAGAAAACUACAAAGGUUGAACCGAACACAAUAAAAGAAAAAUAAAGCAAUAAAAGAUGGAAUCCUCGGAAGGUCUUCAUGACUGCGCAGAACGAGGGUCUACUGCCUCCUCAGCUCCCUGAGAUGUACCACUAGGCCCCUCCUCUUGAUGAGGGGUAGGAGUAGGUGAGCGGUGAAUGUGGAAAUGAUCCUCCAUUGCUCGAAGGCGACGAUCCUGCCUGUCUAGUCGCUCAGUCAUCAUCUGCUCGGUCUGGUCAAUGCGCUCCAUCACACGUGUCUCCAUGCAGCAGAUGGCAUUGAGGAUCUCUUGCAACUUGGAUCGCGGCGGAGGCGGUGGUCGUGGAGUGGGAGGAGGAAGGGUCUGCUGUGCCUCCGUCUCUUGAGCUUGCUCUUGUUGUUCAGUGUGAGGUGGAGGCUGAGUGGAGGUCGAAGCUUCUCUUGUGUCCCGAACUAGAGCAGCUCCAAAAUCCGUAGGAAUGCCUAAAGCCUUGAGUAUAGAGGCAUUGACCUCUUCAGCAGACCGAGUCACCACUGCUCGUUCGGUUCCAAGAGGAACCUUGAGCUUCUCAAAAAUGAGGGAGAGGAGCCGGGGGAACCCGAAACAUGUAUGACCGGCCCCCAUGCGAGCUGUAGUCCUCAUGUAACUGAUAAUGAUGCUGGGCAGAGGAAUUCCAGUCAUAUGAUUACCUAUACCAUGCAUCAUUUUAUCGAGGAAGUAUAGGUCACUGUUGCGGAGCUCCCGUUUUCCACUCCGUUUUGGUACCACAUUGAAGGCAAAAAGAUAGAAAAUCAGGUGGUACCUAUGCUCGAAGGAAUCGGCAUAUACGGUGAGCUUUUUCGAACUUCCUCGCUCACGGUAUUGACCCUUAAGACGUGACACAGCUUCUCCCACUUGCCAUGGGUCACGAGCCUUGAACUCCUUAGUCAAUUUGAUAUCUUCUCCUGAGUCUUUGAGUUUGGCCCACGUGGCAACUUUGUCUCGAGUGAGAGCCACUCGUUUGCCUCGGACCCAGGAUUGGAUCAGAUUGCCACUAUGGCUAUGUUUGUCUUCCACAUUGGCAUAAAACUCUCGGAUCAGGAUAGGAUAGUAAUGCUUGGGCAACUUGAGUAUGUCCUCCCAACCAAGUCGCUUGAAGGCCGUGGAGAUCUUGUAAUGGUCAUCCACCUCCGGCGCCAAGUGCUUCUCAACUAUUAUUUCUUUGUCUAAACCGGCUUCGUACCACUGCUGAUUCUCAAUUGAUGUGAAACGUGUGGUAUCGUAGUCCGGAGGUGGUUCGUCACGACUGGUAGAUGCCGUCUUACGCCUAGAACGAGGUGGGGACUGAGGAGAAGGAGAUUCGUCUUCAGGCGACUCCUCUUGUAAAGAGGGUGUAUGUUCCUCACUCGAUGAAGGUGUAGGAGUGCGAAUCACUGCCCUUCGUGUGCGAGCCAUGAUGCCUGGAUUACAAACAAGAUUCAACACAAAUUAGAAGCAAUACAAAACAUAACAAACACAAUUGUCUUAAUGAGUUAAGAAAAUUUCGGCAGAGUUUCCCCUUGAAAAAGGGCUAAACUUCCUGCCAGCUGCACCCAAAAACAAGCACAGAACCUGGUUAAAUAAUUUUAGAUACAGUGGUGGGCAUGUAUAAUAUGAAUUUCUAUCCCCAUUGUCAACACAUGGUUUGAACAAUCCACUUUUCGAUUUUGUGAAUCCCAUCUUUCAAUUAGAAGGUCAUUUAAAAGUCCAAUCCCAUGUUGUCAAUGUUAAGCUUUCAAGUAGUUGACAUAUAGAAGUAAAAUGACCCAAAUUAAGAGUUCAUGUGCAUAAAGCUAAAAAUUAAGAAAUGUCAGCUGCACAAUAAUACCAAAUCCACGAAGCUUAAUGAUAAUUUCAGGUGCCUUUGAGGCUCAAAUAACUCAUCUUCACCUAGUUUAUUAUUCUAAGCAACUGAUACAAAACAUAUAGAGACCAGUCGGUUCAACAUUGCAAAUUUAAUAUUGUCAAUAUCCAAUAAUUAUGGUUGCAGAAAACCACGUAUCUUCUGAUAUUGGGAGAAAACCUGAGUAACUAGUGCAUCCUAUACAAGUAAAAUUCAGGAGCCAAAUGAGGAAUGCUCUUUGCUUCAACAAAAGUUUGUGACACGCCACAUUAUAUAUACUGUUUACGACUCUUUGAAUUAUUGCAGCACCAAGCUUAAUGAGUAGUUAAACGUGAUUUCCUCCGGUGUAUCAAAAAAUUUGUCUAGAUGAGUAGUUAAACAAGACAUUUAUACAAUUAGUAGAAAAGCAUAACUCGGAUCCUUUUUUAUAAAGACGCGAGUAAAUAAAAAUUGCAUAAUGUAGCACAAUUCUAAAUAAAAAUUACAACAAUUAUACAAUUACCAAAAUAUUGACAAAAAUUGAAAAAUAAUGAAAACUGGUACGUGCCUUAAAUUGCAAAUAAAGUUGCAAAUUGUUACCUCAACUGGUUGGAAUGAUGGAGGAAGAUGAUAAAGAUGGAAAAAUUGAAACAUAAGCGACCCAAAUUAGUCCCCAAAUUGAAGAAAUGGAUUUGGGCCCUAAUUUUUCGUUGAAGAUCAAAACACCACAAAUUUCUGUUUUUGAUUGUAGAAAACUCAGGGUUUAAGCGCAAAAGAGGUUGAGAGAUGGUUUUAUGAUGAAAAAACAGAUGAUAAUUGGUCGAAAUGGAAGAUUGGUGAGGGUGGGGAAGGGUUUCGUUAGGAGGAAUGCGAGAAAACUGGAAAAAAUGACGAACCGAGGCCGCGGGUGACUGUAUAAUGCUAAAGAUCCGAGCUCGGAUCUAACUGUGUUUGUUAGAUCCGAGGGCGGAUUCACAAUUUUCAGUAUCAUGAUUUCGAGGAUCCGAGCACGGAUCCGUGUUGAUCAUCCCUCGGAUCCGAGAUGUCUCGGAUCACCGCUCCCGGUAGUUCAGACGAGCCCUCGUAUCCAUCACAGUUUUUUGGAUCCGAGGGCGGAUUCACAAUUUUCGGAUUUUGAGUUCGAAGAUCCGAGGUCGGAUGUGUUUUAUCACCCCUCGGAUCCGAAAGGGCUCGGAUCAUCGCUCACGGUAGUUCAGACGAGCCCUCGGAUCUAUCUGAGUUUUGUUGGAUCCGAGGUCGGAUUUGUAAAGUGAAAGCCAUGGGUUCGAAUGAUCCGAGCGCGGAUCCUUUCUGGGUUUUUUGGAUCCGAGCUCGGAUCGUUUCGAUCCUGCAUCAUUUACAGAAACUGCAAUUUCCACCAAACUUUUUCUCCAAUUUUCACCAAAUUCGGAAAUACACAUUUGACAACCUGUUCAUCAAAUCUAACCCCCCACGCAAGUGUAAUAUACCAAAAACACAAUAUCCAACCAAUCAAAACACAUCAAACAUGUCCACAUUUCAAAACAAGGCGUGAGGUUCUUUGAUCUUUUUUACACAUUUACACCAAAAUGACACCUUUAGGUCUCGUAUGCACAUUGAAUGAGUCCAUGUGCAAUUAUAAACAUGUUUUCACCGAAACUCACUGGAACAUUCAUGUGGUGGCCAUUUUAUAUGCUCCAUGAAUAUAUAUAUAUUCAUAUAUAUAUAUAUAUGUAUAUAUAUGUUUAUAUAUAUACAUCUACUAUCUUUUGAAAAAAAUUGGACAGAAUCUCCCCUUAAAAGUGGACUAAACUCCCUGCCAGCAAAUCCAAAGUCAUGAACAUUUCAUCUAAGCAAUAUUUCCGACAACUUGUCCAAAUACAAAACAUAAAACUACUCCAAGUCCCACACAUUUUUCUCCCCUACACUUAGAAUAAUAUUCAUAACAGGAGCAACCAAUUACAGUUUUGAACAUCAAUGAUGUCCAAGUUUUCCAUGCGUGCCACAUCCUCUGGGUUUGUGUGCUCUUUGUGUGCGACGUGGCUGGGCUGGCAUCACUAUAUCGACUUGCGUAAUUUGUGACUCAAGUCUUUGAUCAAGUGCUUGGGUACUUUGGCCUGCAUCUGUACCUCCUACAUGUUGUUCACCACUGCCAUGGAGCUCGUCUGUAUUGGGCGUAAACGCCUCCAUAAGUACUGGGCCCCUAGAAUGACCAAAAGGUCCGGUAGAGGUGCCCUGGUGCUCAGUAGCCUGUGACCUUCCAUCAAGUCCGGUUUGGACGGUGGGUUCUGGUGAUCGAAAUCUACGACGGCGUCCACCGCCAUGCUGACCUCCGUGAACAUUCCUAGGAGCUCUUUCAACGCGAUUGGGGUCGGUUGGCUGUGGAAUUUGCUGUGGCACUCGUGAAGGGCGAAAUGCAAGUCGGGAUGACUCCCCUACAGUUUCCAAUGUCAUGGAUGCAAAGUCCUUCAUUGCAUUAAAAUAAUUCGUGUGCUGUUCGUCACUCUGCGUUAGAGAGGUCUCUGCCAUGUAAUACACCUGAGUCCGGGACUGUCCGGGACUGUAUUUAACUAGUUGUAAGGAAAACUGACCAGAUAUUGUGUUCUGGCGCUAUCACCCUGAAAGCCCUCCGGUAAAAUGAGCUGCCUAGUAGGAUUUGAAACAUAUACCACUGUUCGCUCGCGAUACCACUGACGAUACUCAUCGGAUGGAUAUGUGGGAUCUUCAGCUACAACACCAUCUUCCACAUGUGAAUGACGAUCAGUCCACACCUCAACAUAUGCUCGAUGUGCAGUUAACCAGUCUUGGUUCCCCUUGCCACGACGAUCAAGAGAAUGCAGUUCCUGUUGAUUUUCGGUCAAUCUUAUAUCAGGCACGGGCUGAUGAUAUCCGAACUGUCUCAUAACUCGAUUGGAAAGAUGUGGCUCGACAACUUCCCAACAUAUGAGAUACGUGACAGAUGUCCAAAUGCGGCGUCCUGCAGUACAAUAGGGAGGCAGAGAAGCGAGAAUAUCGUCCGAGUAUGGCUGCCAUAUGAACUGCAAGGCCAAUAAUUAUUCAAUGACAUAACCUUCAACCAACUAUGACCCUAAUUUUAAUGGAAAAAGUGCUGUGCCAUAUAACGGCAAAGGACCCAAUCGUAAAAGCAUCAAAUGAUGUUACUGUACCUCUCGGGCCCGUAAGCCCGUCAACUGAUCUCGGAAUAUAGAUACAACAUGUCUUGCAACUCUAUGCACAUCAAAUUGAACAUUCCAUCUGCAGGGAACGAAUUAGAGCCGUUGUGUCUUAAAGGCGAAAAUUUUGAUUUUUAUUAGUACUAUAUACAUAUAUUUGAUAUACAUACCGAGCUCCAUAUGGACCAGGAUAGUGCUCUAACGGAUGCACUCGAUCAGGGCGAACUGUUGGUAUACGUUCCCACGCCCAUAGCUGUAUUUAAAUUGUAUUUGAAUAUAUUAAUUGACCAUGUAAACUCCUCUAUAGUUAAAUCUAGACACUUUGAACGAGACAAAUGUACCUGAAGCAACAUCAAUGGUCCCGCAAUGGACGAUCUAUAGGGAGAUGUGGCGCUACACAAUGAUCGAUACAAAGUUGCUAAUAUCGCACUACCCCAGCUAUAUUGCCCAACAGUUUUCAAAUCUCGUAGUAAUGGCAUAUACAACAACGGGACUUUAUUACCAGAUUUAUCUGAUAAUAAAUGACCGCCUAAUAGCAGAAGCAGGUAUACGCGGGCCCGCUGUCUACAGUGGACAUCCGAAGCAUCGGGUGGCAACCCUGCAUCUAAUACUCUAGAUAAACACCCCAAUUUCAGCCGUCGCCCAUCAAAAUCUGACAUCAAGGGAGAAAAACCAAGCAACUCCUCACAUAAAUUCACUCACUCCUGAACACUAUGAGUUGUAUCUAUCCCUAUAACUGGAGGACCAUCUAUGGGUAGACCCCACAGAACCUCAACAUCCUGUAAGGUAACUGUAGUCUCUCCAACGGGGAGAUGAAAGGUAUGAGUCUCGGGCCGCCAUCGCUCCACUAAACUAGUGAUCAAAGCAUGAUCGAGCAUCAUAUAUCCACAGUCAAGCACCCCUUCAAAGCCAGCCAAUCGAAUAUAAUGCCGAACAGUCUCUGGGAUAGGUGUAUGAUCCCAAAAAUGCCUAUCACAUCGUCUGACAUCAAGCUGAUCACCUAGAAUGUGCCCGUCAAAUAUAGAACGUGCCUGGUGUGCAGUGCCAGCUGAGAUGAUAUCAUACACAAAUGGGCCCGGAUGCAGGACUGCCCCCGUAGAAAUGUCGGCCAUACCUCUGACAACAAUAGCUGCAAAUACAUUAUAUAACAUAUAAGCCUACACACAUUUGAAUAGAAGAAUAGGAGUUUCUUCAACUAAUGCAACACUUUAAAUACAGAGCUGCUAAAAAUAAGGUCAAAAUUAUGACCCGAUUGAAACAUUGAUCAACAACAUGUAUCUCAUAAAUCAUAUUAAUUUCAUAAUCCCAAAAAUUACAGAUAUCAUAGUACACUGGUUCAUAUCCCUAAAACGGAUGACAUCAAGCUCUAAAAUUUGGACAAUUUCUUCUAUUAUGGCCCGAUUGAUGACAAUUUGUACAUCUUCUUGGCACCUCUGGGUCUCUCUCAUCCAUCUCAUUCCGAAUUCUUCUAACUCGUACCCUUCCAGCCCGACGUGCAACAUAUUUACUACUAUCUGCCCGCAGCUCCCAAUCUGGUUGGAACCAAGUAUCCGGAUGUGGCAAAGGGCUAAACUUUCCUGAAUACUGCACCGCCCACCGCCUAUUUGUAAAUUGGGGAUCUAUAAGUGCACCAGAAUUAUCACCUCGGUGCCUGCACACGGCCAUCACGUGCGAACAGGGAAGUCUGUAGCACUGCCACUUACCACAAGAGCAUGUUUUAUCAAAAUACUUUACCGUUUGUGUAUUACCCCCUUUACCAUCCACACGUCUACCAGUCACAAUUUUGUACAUCCCCGAUGAGCCAUCGAACUCAACAACCCUGUGGGUUCCCGCUUUCAGGUCCGAAUUCUUAAACCGCCGUCAUAUCUUUGGAGGAAAUGGAUAACGGCAAUGUCUAGCAUCCUCUCUUCUUGUUUUAAACAACUCAACAGUCCGAUGAAAUGUCAUAUCAAUACAAGCCCGGAUAGGCAAAUGACGAGCUCCUCUAAGUACAUUAUUAUAACUUUCGGAAAUGUUGGUUGUAAGAAUACCCCAACGGUUCUCACCGUCAUGUGUUAGACACCACUUCUCAGCUCCAAUGUUAGACAGAUAACUCCAUGCAUCUGGAAACAUGUUCCUCAAUUCUCGUUUGAAUGCCCGCCACUUGCGCAAUUGUCUGGCUUUUCCCAUUGCCCAACAUAACCUUCUAAGGUGCAAGCCUUUGAAGUGACUCAUUAGGUUACUCCUAACGUGUCGUAGACAAAAUCUAUGAAAGGUCAAAGGUUCUUGCCAAUAGUCAUAAUGUGUCAUGGCAUGGAUGAUACCAUUAUGCCGAUCCGAAAUGACACAAAUAGGAUACCGAUCACGGGCCACAUUGUAUCUUAGUUGUUCCAUGAACCAAGACCAACUACAAAUAGUUUCUUCGUCGACAAUGGCAUAGGCUAGCGGAAUAAUGUGGUUGUUGGCAUCUUGCGUAACUGCAACAAGUAGUUUGCCUUUAUAUUCGCCCCGCAGAUGAGUGCCAUCAACACAUAUAACCGGUCGACACAUGUGAAAUGCAUCAAUAGCCGGUCCAAAAGCCCAGAAGACAUACUUAAAUGUCUUCAGACGAUCCGUACUAUCAGAAUGGUGCAACCACCUGAUCACAGAUCCCUGAUUUGACUGCAUAAGUGCAUCAACAUAUUUCGGCAGUUCAGCAAAAUUGGCAUCCCAAGAACCAAAUAUAAGUUCAAUAGCUUUGCGUCUGCCGUACCAAGCCUUUUUAUAGGACACGUCCACCUUCAAAACUUUCUUGACAUGGCUUACUAUAUUCUUUACUUUAAACCCAGGAUCAUCUUCAAUGCUACGAACUAUGUGUCUAGCAAUAACCGAAGAUGUAAGACUAGCAUUGCUAUUACUCAUCAAAUCACCAACACAAUUAUGGUCGUUGACCCAUUUGGUUAUUUGCCACAGUCCAUGAGUCUUUUUUUUCACUGCUCGGACACACCAGUCGCAUGGAGGAUACGAUACGUUGGCCACAGUGGUGGUGCUCCUUUCAAAUGCAGAUUUACAUUUGGCAACCCAAGUAUUACUCUUGCUCUCAACAACCCUAAACUCCCUAUUAUGAUUGAUAGACCACAUUCUAAUAGCCCUGCUCAGCUGUUGUUUGCUCUCAAAUCUCAUAUGUAGACAUAUGUGAUUAUUAUCCUCACUAAAUGUCACAAUACGUUCCAACCCACUUUCAUCAGUGAAUUGGUCGUCAUCAUUUAUAUUUCCAAGGUUAGAGAAGAAUUCGAAUCCUCGUGGAACAUACGAAAGGUUGGCAAAUGCAGCAAAGGGCUGUUGGUUCCCAAGAUCCUGGUGGACUACACGUCUUUCAUUUUCGCCAUCUGAGUCACUGUCUGACACAUCUACCGACUCAGAUUCUUCCACAUCUUCUACAUCAUUUUCCAAAUCAUCAUCUAUCAAUGUGUUACAAUGACUUGGACCAGCAGUCGAAUCGAACCCAUAAGAAGGCACAUGAUUCGGCGAUACGUGGUCUCUAAAACUUUGAAUCGAGUCAAGGCCUUCAACAUAUUCAACAUCCGUCCUUAAGCCUGACGUGAACCGUGGCUCUACCACGUCCCUAACACAAUCCCCAUGUAGUCGUUGUAGACACCAAAUUUUGGUGUAAUUUCAUUUACUAAUUAUUUUUUAGUCUGUGCUCGUUUUUUUCACUUUUUAGUUUUUAGUUUUUUAGUUUUUUGUGUUAUUAUUAUUUUUAAGUUUUUAGCAUAGAAUUUCUUGAAAAUGAAAAAAAAAAGGAAAAAGAAGGAAAAAGUGAAAAAUGAUGAAAAAUGAAAAAUGAAAGGAAAAGAAUGAAAAUGGCAAAAAUAGGUGGAAGUGUGUGCAUGUUGAACAAGUGUACAAAACAAUCAUGGGACAAGUGGUUAAGGAAUUUGAGGGACAAGUGUCCCUUUUGUUUAAUUGACAACACAACAUUUAGGAGGACACUUGUUUAGCUUAGAAGGGAGGUUUGAGAAUUGGAGGGAAAAAAAAGAAAAAGAGGCCACGGAUGGGAGAAAAACAGAGAAAUAAGAGCUUGAGGGGAGAGCUACGACUAAAAAGGGAAAAGAUUGAAAAAGGCUUUGGGGGUUUUGAGGCUGAAAAACAGAGGGGCGGCGGACAAGGAUAGAGGAGCCGAAAAAAGACUAAGAAAAAGGGAGGCUAGGGAAAAACAGAGGGCAAGAACAGAGGAAAAAUCUGAAGUUGGGGGAGUUUUUCGGGUAGAGAAAGACGAGCGAGAGAGAAUGAAAACAACAAAAAGAAACAAAAGAAAACGGAAAAGAAAAACAGAAGGCUUGGUCUGAUGAAAGAGGAAAGAAAUGAACAAAGAUAGGAGGAGCUCUUGAGGGCUGAGGAACAAAAGAAAAGCAGAGGAAGAAGCUUCGGCAGGCAGCAACCAAAGAAAAAUAGGGGAAGGGGUUUCGGUAAAAAGGAAAAGAGAGCAAGAGCGGAAAAAUCUGGGAAUUAAAUGAGAGAUGGAGCCAGAGAGUAAGCCAAACGAAGGAAGACUAGAAAAUUUUCAAUCAAGACUCCCUCGUCGGCGUCCAUCUCUCCAACAGCGCCGCCGCCAAUUUCGUUCCCAAUAUCAACUUCUCGCCCAUGGCCACCGCCAUCAGCGGAUCUUCACCAAGGAGAUGCGUUUGGGGAGAGGGAGCUUCGGCUGCAAUAAGAAGAAGAAAAACAGAGCAAAGGGGAAACAAGAAAGAAAGCGAUGGCAGCAGCAGCACUUUCCCGGCUUUCCUCCCCUGUUGCCAUCCCCGGUACCCUCAUGCCAGGAACCAACGCCGCUCAUGUCAACCACCACAAGCGCCAUCCAGCUGCCUGCCCGAGAGUCGAAACUACCGCUGCCGGAAUCGGUCAUCACUGCUUGCAAGGCUUCACCGUGAGAGGCCACAGUACAGUAAGGUAACCUUUUCAUUUAUGUUUCACUCUCCUGUCAAAGUAUAUUUUCUGUAAGGUUGGCAUCUCAAUUUUCGCAUCGAUUGUUCAUGGACAUUUUCUGUAUGUUGAUUAAAUUGGUUUCUUGUGGGUUUGCUGUAAAUUGUGGGGCUGAGUAUAGCUUCAAUUGAGUAAAAGAUUAGUGAAAUUUUUUAUGCCUCUAACCCGUUCGACGAAAUGCUAUGCUGAAAAUCCCAACCCCAAGCAUGUUUCCCGUGAAUCUAUUAUUGCAAUUUCUUGCAUAAUACUCUAUGGGUUGAUUGGACUGUAUUUCUUGGGGUUUCUGAUAAAAUUUCUGGGCUGAUUAUAACUUCAAUUGAGCAACAUUUGGGGAAAUUUUUUAAUGUCUGUUGGUUGCUCGAUGAAAUGUCCAACCAAGACUCCAGUUUCAAGAAUGAAUCGAUUUCUGUUUUUGCAUAACAUUCGGCCAUUUCAAUGCUUGUUAAAACAUGAUAGCUGAUGGUUAGGCUAAAGGGCCGCUGUUGUCCUUUUGACCUGCAAUGGUUUAAUACGCAUCACUGGGUUGUGUUGAUCAAGGGGGGGUUUGAAUUUGCUAAAGUGGCUUGUUUACUUCGAAUCUGUGUCGUGUGGUUCCUGGGGUGAGUUACAGAAGAAAGAAAUGAAAAGAAAGCUGCAAAAGAGCUUCGGCCAAGAUGCACAAUGAUUUCUGAUAUUUUAAUUAACCCCUCACAUUUUCCCUUAUUCUGCUAUGGCCCAAAACUUGGCAUAAUUGAACUAAUUCUGUCCUUUUAAGUUUAAUUCUCUGUUUGCAUAUUUUAUGUGACUUUGUGGAUAGAUUAAUUUUUUAUUUUAGGUCAUAAUUGUGGCUAAUAAUUUUUGUUGAUUUAAUCAUGUUAGGUGCUUGUGAAAAGGUGUUUUGGGUUAAAAGGUUAUUUCUACUUGGGUUUAGGGGAGUGGGUUUAAUCUUCUUAUUUUGGGUUUUUUUGGGUUUGGAUUAGAGGAUGGAAGCCCACUGGUUUGUUUGAUCAUAAAUAAUAGGCUGGCCCAUUCCAUUUGCCUUGAUUUUUGAAAUGGGUUUAAGAAGGUUUUGGCCCAAGAGAUGAAUAAAAUGGCCCAAUGGCCUGUUGAGUCAAGAAGUCUGAUGAUGAAAUUUCAUUCCAGCCCCCUAACUUUCGGAUACUUUCACUGUGGCCCUGGAUAUUUUCAACUUCUUUCAAAUUGGUCCUUACUUUAAUUGCAAAUGAGUCCCUGAACUUUAUUUUUCUUUAAAUUUUGACCCCAAAGCUUUGUUAAUUGUCGCAAUCAAGUCCUUCAUUGUUUUAAUUUCUCGAAUGUAGAUUGUUUAUAUGAUUUAAUUAAUUUAAUUUCAUGAUUCAUUUUUAUCUUUUGUGAUUAUUUUCUUGAUUAAAGUGAUGCCUUGAUGCUUUUAUUAUUUUGGAGGAUAAAUAAGUUGAUUUCACUCCAUUAGAGCUUCAUUUCAAGGGAGGUAUAAUUUCUUUUAUCUUUUUGUGUCUCUCCUAUGUGCUCCAAACGUGCUAAGUGAAAUACAUGUCUACUUUGCUUUCCUAGCCUUUCUUUAAUUUCUUUUAUUUAUGUCAUUUACUUUUGCUUUUCAUUUAAGUUAUUCUUUAUGGGGUAUGUGUACACCUCUUGGCUUGUAAUAGAUAGGGUUUGGAGGAGCAUUCAAUGAAGACUAUCGAAGUCAUGUGCCUAGCUAGCAAAUGUAAUAGUUAGGACUUUAAUUAUCUUAUGUGUCUUGCAUGCUUAAUUACUACGUGUUAAUGCUUUGUUAGGGCCUUGCAUCUAGUCGAGCAUGCUAAAUGUUAUGUGCUAUGUGUUUAUAAGUGUUUGGCAUGUCUACUCGCUUUCCAUAGCCUGAAUGAAUGUGAUGGAUGAAUGUACGUUUCCACUAGUCCAACGCUAGUCGGAAUUCAUAGAAUGGGCUAGUCCAACGCUAGACCCUUAGGGAUUUCCUUUCGUUAGUACACAUUUGCAUGUUCAUUACAUGUCAUGCAUUCUUUUUAGUUUUAUCAUUUUGCAUGCCCUCGAACCCCUUUUCCCUCCAUUUUAGGAUUUUUGCAUUUCAUGCUAGUUAUAGGGUUCAUUUGCUUGAGAGUCCCCUUAAAUAUGGGAUAUAGACGAGUGUGGCUUUUUCUAAGCCUUAGCACGCUUGUAUUCCCUCUAUAAAAGGGCAAAUUGAGUCACGAUUUAGGUCUCCCCGUACCCAACAUGCAUGAAUUCCCUAGGCUCAUGCAUUUUUAAUCCACUCUACCAUUUUAUACCCUCAUGACACUUUCAUCUUUCCUCCUCAUUUUGCACACGUGCACCUUUAUGUUGCUUCACUUGCACACGAACACUUUUAUCGUCACUUGCACACAUGCACUUCAUAUUAUCAUUUCACAUACCGUACCUUACCCACUCACGUGCACAUUUUCAUUUACAUAUUUAUUGUCUUUUAUUACUUUUUCAAACUCAUGUCCUCACAUUGCAUACAUGCAUUCCAUUCAUUUGCAUCCCACUCGCAUUAUUCGUGACUUCUUCAAAGGAUUGUUAUUGGGCUUCACAAUUAAUGUGAUUGGCACCACUCAACCGUUGAAGAGAAAUUUCCCCCAAUACCCCUAGGUCUAGGGUUUGCAUUCAUGUAGCACAUCCAAAUGUAAUAAAUUCUUUGGUUAAAACAAGAAAAUCUUUGAUUAAAUCACGAAACUAGCCUUGGCUAGGUCGAAGGGGUGCCUUGGAUUUUUAUCCUUGCCUUCCCCUUCGUCAAAUGUGACUCCCGAACCUUUUUCGCUGGUUUACGUGGACUAGGAGUCGUUUAAAAGGGGUUUCUUACUACUUUUUCCUAUUUUUUCUUUAAAAAUUCAUUUUUGGUGACUUGGUACACCUUAACUCAUUACCAAGUGGCGACUCCAAAUUUUUAUUUCAAAAACCCUUUUUUUUUGGGUCAAAUCGUCGCAUUCUCAACCCCCCAUUUAGACCCAUUUUUUCUUUUAAAUCACAAUUCAUUUUCCAAUCACAAAAAUACAUUUUUAAACCAUUUAUUUAUUUAUUCAAAAAAUGGGGCGCGACAGUCGUUGUGAUACCGAUGCUGUCUCUGGUACCACUGUACUAGAGUAGGAUCGAUACCUAGUUGGAUCCAUGCAUGCAUGGACAAGCGACAUCAUCGGCCCAAUAUUGGUAGUUGGUGGAAUGAAUGUGCUACUGACGAGAGGAUUUUGGACUAUUUCCUCCUUCUCGAUAUAAAGUUCAGCGAUGUAUGGGACAAGUUCGUUCCAGACAUCAUACAUUAUCUCCAGAGUUUCAUCAUCCACCACUGGAGAGACAUUAUAAGAAGUACGGCCACAAGGUUGGCGGAGAAAUAAAUUCAACUUGAACAGCCCCCUAUCGACCCCCAUGUAUUCAUAAAUUCUAUCCACCAGCUCAUCAUAUCCAAUUCUAUGCCGUAAUGAGAAUGUACGGUUGGAAGUACGAGGCAAAUAACAAAUUGACCCAUCUUCAUAGUGUAUUUUACCUCCCCAAUAAAGAGAUACUCGCAGAGGUCUUUCUAUAGACAUAUCAAAGAAAACAAUCCCUAUGUUGGAAAAAAUAAAUUAUAAUUAGUAGUACAAAACUAUGUAAAGUGUAUUAAUGUAGAAGGUCACCAAUUUUUGUAAAGUUUAUUAAUCUAGUAAUUCAAUCAUUUAAGUACCUAUAAACUAAUUAAGAAUUCGUAGUUACUCAACUACUUAUAAUAAAAGCAACAUAUUAUAUACCACAUAAAAAAGAAAGGUUAACAAUUAUUAUUUGUAGUGAAAUACAAAAUAAGAAUGAACAACAAUAGUAGUUUAUUUUUUUUUCCUAUUGAUACUACUAAUAAUUGAUUAAUCAAUUUCUCUAUUUUGUUAUUAUAUAUUUGAAAAGUUAAAUUUCUUAAAUGACAUGGAAUUCAACAUUUGGGAAAAAAUCUUUUACUCACAUACAUUUUUUUGUAUAAAAUAAAGCAAUACGAAAUUAAGAAAUAAACAAAUUUUGACUAAUCUAGUCUACUUAUUUAAACAAUUGUUUAAAGAAAAAAAGGAAGAAUUUAAAAAGAAAAUUAACAAAUAUGAUACAUUAAAAGGGGUAUAUUUUUCCAAACAUAUCAUUCAAGAGGGCAAAAUGCCUAUUAUUAUAGUUUAGGGGAUAAAUUGUAACUGGGUAAAUAGUUUAUAGGGAUUUUUUUGCAUUUAACCCUUUAUCAAACGAAAAAAUUGUAAUUUAUUAUUCCUAAUAGAUAUAUAUAUUUUGAAAAAAUUACUUUUUAUUAGAUAUAUUUUGCAAUAUAUAUAUAUUACACAUUGUCAUUACUUUUUUUAAAACAAAAAUUUGAUAGAAUCUCCCCUUAAAAGUCUAAUUACUUUAUUUAAUGCUCACAAGAGCUUAGCGAAGGCUUUUAUUGUGAAAAAUUGGAAGUUUUAUGGAUGAAAUGGAAAAUUAAGGUUUCGGUGAGAAGGGGGAAGAGUAAAUCUGGAAACGGAGGAACCGAGCCCUCGGUUUCAGACAUAUUGCCAAAGGAUCCGAGCACGGAUCGGUUCUUGAAGCCCUCGGAUCCCACAAGCCUCGGAUCCGUCUCACCAGGAACACAGACGAUCCCUCGGAUCCGGCCGGGUUUACUUGGAUCCGAGCUCGUAUCUUAUGGAUCCGGGGUCGGAUUUGUCUGGAUUGACUUCGAUCUGACCUCGGAUCUUACUUCCUCUGCACUAACUGCAGAAAGUGCCAUUUGCCAAACUUUUUCUCCCUUUUCCAAACUAAUUGUCAGACUAACCAUGGCAAGCUAAUGCGACUCAAACCGAAAGAACAACAACGAUUCAUAAAUUGCCAAAACAUAACAGCCAGCUCAAUUCAGCAAAACAAAAAUCAUGUUGUAACAACAAACAAACUGACAAACAAAAAAAAGAGAUAAAUUCAUACCUCUUAUGGCAAAUUGGGAGGGAGGGGGGAGAUGCACGGAUUCCAGACAGCUUGGCAGGAAUGGGACAGGUUGGUUUCAGCGGUUUUUUGAAUUGGGUUUCAGACUGAGCUUUGUUGCCUUUUUUCUUUGUUGGUUUUUUUCUUUUCCGCAGAACAAUAAUGCGAGGUACAUGACCUCGCAUUUCUGAAAUGCGAGGUACAUACAACUCGCAUUUGUGAAAUGCGAGGUCAUGUACCUCGCAUUUCUGAAAUGCGAGGUUACCUAUUUUUUUUUUAUUUUUUUUUUUACUUUCGCUGUUACAAAAUUUAAGGACAGUUCGCAUUUAUCAAAUGCGAGCUCAAGGAGCUCGCAUUUGAUAAAUGCGAACACCCCAAAAACAGAAACCAGUACACAAAAUACCCCCUUUGUAGAAUUUUUUUAAAAAUCAUAAUAAUUUUAGAAAUUUCUCGUAUUUAACUUGAGGUGGUCAAACACUUCAUACAUAUCAACUUUACCAAUGGUUUAGUACCCCAGCAUAAGCUGGAUAUCAGUAGUGCUUGACUAUGAAAACUAUAUCCAUGAAUCUGAGUUCAUAAUGCAUGCCAGAUGCACAUCAAUUUUUACAUUUUUAACAUCUGUUCAUACAAAUGCUCCAACCAAAAAAAUCAAUGUGACCCUUUUUUUUUUUUCUUGAACCAACCAGCAUCUAUAAUAUUGCAAACACAAGGGACCACCAUCUUAUUGAAAAGAGACAAAAAUUUCAGCUUUAGCACUUUAUUUAACUAUUCAUUUAGAGUUUAGAAUAAAUACCAUAAUUUAGGAAAGGUCGAUCGUUCAGUUUCUUCUUUCGCAAGGACGUUUUUCUUCAAUGAGAUUCUCCACGGAUCCACUUUUACCAAUCUUCUAGCCCGCCGAUUGUCUGGUUGAUAACAGUGAGAAUAGCUGAAAAAUUCUUAGUUCCGACAGAAACGUGGGCCGCUGUACUUAAACGCUCGGGAGAGCCCGGCACCACAAGGUUGCUAAAGAAAGAGAAAAGAAUGAAAAAGUGUCUGGAUAGCAAAUUAUUCUAAAUAAUAUUUUACUUGCAUUAUAAACACAUUUUUAAAUCAACUUUUUUAUAUUCCUAACUAUAUUUUUAUUUUACAUACAUCAUAUUACAAAAAGUGCUAUAUUAAUUAUUUCAAAUAAUACUCUAUCCAAACUUUCUCCUUUUUUUUUUGUUACAACAAGUUAUACUAACGAAGCGUGCUUUUCACGUGACCACUUUCCAUAUAAUUUCAUGAGUUUUUUAUCAAUUGUCCUAAAUCGAUAAAAAUCGACAAUGUUCGAGGAAUAAAUGUGUUUUGGUGAAAGUGAAAUUUUGAGGAUGAAAUUGAUCUAUCACCCGAUUAUUAGGGACGAAAAGUGCAUUUUUUCCUAGAGCUGGCAUCCCACCCUACCCCGCACGUAGGGUUUGCAUUUAAAAACAUUUAUGAACUUCAACUCCAUUUUUUGUUUUGCUUAUAUAAUGUGCAGGUCGAUGAAAAUAGAUUAAUGGGACUAUACUUUACGGGCUGAUGAUGCAUGCAGGAUUUCCUCUACUUAAUCAUCAAGUAGACCAGAAAUAUUCCCAAUCACCAACCGCCUAAAGCGCCACUAUUUCAAAGCCUUCACAGCACGCCUUCAGCCUCAAUUGUAACAUUUUCCAAACCCCAAAAAAAAAAAUCACCCCGUCAAAAGCGCCACUUUAGAACACGCCUUAACAAUAACACCAAAAAAAAAAACCCUUUGAAUCAAAACCGUCACACACUCCGCCAUUCCUCUGCAAUACCCAAACCCCACUGUCCUCUCCUUCUCCCAGCUGAUUCUGACUCACUGAGUUUAACCGAGUUCACCGGGUUUGCAGCCGUUCCAAACCUCCAAUUUCACGAGGAAAGAAAAGAUGCGAGCUAUCCAUCGAUUCGUGUCGCGUUUCUCCAUUAACCGUUGUUCCAAAAAUCAACCCACAUUCAAAACCCGUAUUCCUUUCUCUCUUUCCGAAAAACCCUUCUCUUCAAACCCUCCUUCGAAUAACGAUAAAAGUACGACUUCCGGUUUGGGCAGCAGCUUCGGCGUUCCUUCCGGCGAUGGCGGCGGCGGCGGCGGCAGCAGCGACAACUUGGGGUGGGAUAACCCAAGUUCUUCCUCAUGGUCUACUGGCCUGACCAAAGAACACUUUGACGGCGAAGUAGUCGGACAGCAGGUGAGCCCUGGAUUGGGCCCGAACCCGGCUCGGCCAGAAGGUGGAAUGGGAGUCGGAGGCAGUGGUAUGGGGCAGGCGCGGUGGACGGAUGAGGAGAUGAUGCGCAUUAGGAGGUUACAGGCCGAGAAUAGGAAAAGUAGAGCGUUUGUGGAAGGAUGGAAGAACAGGAUGGUGGAGAUGAGUGUCCUGAUGAAGCAAGUGAGAGAGCCUGGGGCUCGAGGAUCAUAUUUGAAGGACUCGGAGAAGGCUGAGAUGUAUCGGAAACAUAAGGAGAAUCCCGAAGUAUAUACGGUGGAGAGGCUUGCCAAGGACUACAGGGUUAUGAGGCAAAGGGUCCAUGCGAUUUUAUGGCUGAAAGAACAGGAGGAAGAGGAAGAGAAGAAGUUAGGCCACAAGUUGGACGAUUCGGUUGAGCUUUUGUUGGAUGCAUGCCCCGAGUAAGUUAACUACUUUUCAUCAGAAAUUUCGUAGGAAAAGUAGUCUUUUUAUUGAUUAAUGAUGCUGUUAAUUGGUUUCGAGAAUGUUGAGUUCUACUAUGAAAUGCUUUGUUGUAACAGUUAGUUUUUUGAGGGGCUUCUACCCAGGACAAGCAAUUAGAGGCCUUGUUAAUGGCAAUUGGAAGAGACUCUCCUGCUGCUAAUGCAACUAGGAAUUGACACCUUAUUAUCCUAAUUUCUAGUGCCACUUAAUUAGGCUAUGCAUCCGGUUCUGUAUUCUUUCUUUCUAACUGAUGUUGGAGAUUCUGUUGUCAUAUAUUGCUUAGUGUUAUGUCAUUUAUGUGAAUUUGGAAGUAGUUUUCUACCAUAUACAAGGUGUUUUUAGGAAGAGGAGAAGCUAUCACCCUAUAGUGUUUACUUUAUUAGGUUUGAAGUUCUGUGUUUAGAUGGUUGAUGUUUUGUUUGUCAUAAUAGUUCUUACUAUUGGGUAAUAGUUGAGGCUCAGAUGUUUGGUUGGAGUUUUGAUCUCUAUGUUACUGAGGUUGAAGUUUUUUUGGUCAUUUCUUGCUUAAUAUGCUUUGAAUUGGGAAGCAGAUUCCAGUGCUGGAUAUAAUGUAUUUAGGAUGAGAAGAUAUUAAAUUAUAAUAUUUUGAUACGUGUGCCUUUGUAUAGGUGAAAUUAGGUAGCAGAAAUUGAAGCUUCUUUCUCCUGAAUAAUGAGCUGUUGGUUUUUGACGGUUCGAGUUGAUUAACAUUCUUUUAAGAAAAUAAUGAAUGUGCGUGUUAGCAGUUUGCUGCUUGAUACUUCUACUUAUCAAUGUUAGUGAACAUUAAUUUGCAAGUGGGCCUUCAAAAUUUGGAGUGCCAUGUUGGAUUUAAAUCAUAGGGAACAUUCUAAAAUAGGAGAUAAUUCCCAUGCGGUUAAACUUUUUUUUGUGCCAUAUUAUUUGGAGGAAGGAUUGGUCUGGUGUGUUCUUACAGAGUCAGAGUUGUCUGGAAUGUGCUCAAAAACUAGUUAUUAAUAUUCUGUGUGAACUCUGAUUCUUGAUGUCAAUAUUUACUGGCUUUGUGUAUUCUAAUUUUCUGUGUGAACUCUGGAAUGGGCCCAAACCCAACACGGCCCAAAAAUUUGUCAGAUUGUUUCACUUCCCUGUUUCUUAAUGCCAUCUUGUGGACUCACAUAAUUGUCCAACUUUUAGUUGCUUCUUCAGCCAUUGGCUGAUCUCUGCAUAGUUUGCGCUGGUCCUGUCUCUCUGUAUUCCUUAGGUUUGAUUCAUAUUUUGAAUUACAUCACACUGUUAGUGAAACUUUUGAACUGUUAUGUCUUUGUUAUUAACUUUCUAUUGUAAAUGGACUUCUGUUCACACAGUUUGACUCCAAGCAAUAAAGGAACCAGGCUUCCUUAACUUGACACUGAGAUGCUACAUGCAUUAUGAAUUUGGAUGUUUAUUGACUCUGUGAAAUGGGAAAUGUGGAUAUGUUUGUUUGGUGUAUUUUAUUUUUCUCUCUUCGCAUACUUUACUUUGCUUCAGAUGAUCAAUGUUGCUUGCAUUCCGAUGUUUAACUUGCACAUUGAUUUUCUUGAGGUGCAUCAUGCACUGUAUUGUUUCCGAUGCUUGUGUCAAAACUAAUGUUAACUGAUCCCUAUUUUUAUCUCAUAACAAAAUUUUGAAAAGUUAUAGAGCUUGCAUCUAUUCGACUGUCUCGUGUAUUUUUCCUCUUUGGUUGUGAAAUGGUGCCAACUUUGAUUGAUCAUAGCUGAUGAAUGACGUCAAUAGAUUUAUCAGUUCACAAGUAAUUUCACCUUAACAUCUGAGGCUGAUAUGGUUCUCAGCUCAGAUAAACCUAAAAAGGCACAAGAUACUGUAAUCUAGGUUCAUUUGUAUGAUGGUAAGGAGGAAUGUUCCUUCUCAUCUUGCUGACAAGAAGUUCAACUUGGUUAUAUUUUCCAUCGUACAAUUGUUUUUUGCAAGUCUAAAUGAUCUUUUCUGAGUCAAUUAUUUACUUUGCCUGUCCUAAUAUUGAGUUUGUAACUGCACCUGUUCGGGAUUAGAAAAGUCAUUUAAUAAGUUUGUGGUAUGUUUUCUGCUCUUAUGUGUUAGUUCUGAAGCUGCUAACCAUUAAGUUUCCAUGUUUUGCAUAAAUUUUGUCUGCAGAAGCCUCUGAUAUCCAUGAAAAUUCUGGCAGAAGUUCGAAGACUAGAGUUCCUGAAAGUUAUACAAUUCAGUGGUUUACGUUUUCAAACAAUUAUCUACAGGAUCUUGCUGCUGAGUUUGGUGGAUGUUACAUUGUUUGGACUGCAUGUUAUAACAUAUUUCUGUUGGACUUCACUGUAACCAACUGUUAGUCCACCUGUACUCCCAUGUGUUCACAACUUAUGUGCUCUGUUGUGCUAAUAUAAAUUUCUUUAUGACACUGGUUUUUUAGUUAUUUACUCGACAUUGUUUACUGCAUGAUCAUCUUUGCCACCAAUUCAACGUUCCAUGCGAAGAUAACUUUUUCUUUGUGGUGUAGUGUGUGAUUUCUCUUUAUGAAACUGACAUGGUUGGCUAUCUGUUUUCUUGUUUCCCUAAUUCAGAAUUUAUGGUUCUGCAGAUUUUUCAAUUCUCAUGAUAGGGAGUUUCAUGUUGCAUCUCUUCCUUACAAGCCGGACUUCAAAGUGUUGCCUGAAGGUUGGGAUGGCACAACUCGGGACCCUGAUGAGGUCCAUUAUGAAAUAUCCAUGAAGGAAGACGAGAUGCUAUAUCAAGAGUUUCUCCAGAGAUUUAACUUCAACAAAAUGAAGGUAAGCUUGUAACCUGGUCAUCUACCUUGGUAAUGGGAUACUAGUGUCUGUGAUAAAAUGAAAAGAAAGGAAAGAGAUGUUUUCUGGUCUUGAUAGUUGUCAGUUGGACAUACCAGAAAGGGAAAGAAGACAUUGAAAUGGAGGAAAUUAGCAAGUCUAUGAAACUGUAUGCGCAUUGGAAUGAAUCUGCGGUUGCUCAUCUUGAAGAUGAGUCAUGAUUGCUUGAUCCUUUUGAAGGACCAUGCUUUUAUUCACUCUUCUUAUUCUGCAAGUCUGCAUUUCAAUCUUAAAAUUUUCAUUACCUAGAGAUUCCUCUUUAAAAGGACCUAAAGUUUGUCCUGAUUCUGGUUAAUGUUUUUUUUCUUCUUACCAAGUCUGGGUUAUUAAGAGAAAUUAUAUAGGUUUGAAUCCAGUUUGAAUUUGUAGGAAAUCAGUAGUAACACCUAAUUGGUGGGAGAACUACAAGAAUAACGUUUGCUUAGGGGUAAUUUGAAGGGAAUAACAGUGAUUUCUAACAAUUUAGAAAAGAUUAUCUUGUCAGUGCAGCUUCAAGCAUGCAUUCUUCUACACUUGUAGUUGAUAAAUUUCGACUUUUCUCGAGUAAUUUAUUUUGCUUGGAUUUUGCAGAUGGCUAAGCUGGUGAAAUGCCACAAGUAUAGCCGGAGGCGGCCAUCUGAAGGAUGGAACUACACAGUUGAGAAACUAGGUCCACGGGGCAAGCGGGGAAAUGGUGGUGGCUGGAAAUUUGUCAGCGCCCCAGACGGUUCCACCAGACCUCUAAAUGAGUACGAAAAGAUGUUUGUGAGGAGAGAGACUCCUCGCAGACGGAGAAGAAUUCUUCCGUGAUAUUGGUUGCAGAUGAAUGCAAAGUCAUCUGAUGAUUUCAGGAAGCUUAGUUAGUCAAUGAGGAUGUUCUGGAUAUCUUCUUUUCUGUAUUCAUCUUCUCCUGAAUUUUGUACCAGCUCAUGGAAGCUAAUCAUGUUUACCACUGCAAUCUCUUUGUAGAUUAUCCUUUCAUUCUGCUAUACUAGUGACUCUAAGAGCUGUGCAGUGGAAAACAGCAUGACAUGAGCUCCUCUUUCUCCCUAUUUUUUAUUGUAACUCAUAGUCAUUGCCUAACAAUUUAGCAGUCCAUUUCUGUUGCAUGGAAGUGGAGAUCCUUUGAUCCAGCGGGUACUUGAGGUUUUGGUGAUCGGUUUUAAUGACUAAAUGUCUGCCUAUCAUUUCUUGGUCUCCAAUUUUGCACACCACACGCUACUGCUAGCAUUUUCCUUUCAUACAGAGACAUCCCUUGAUGUUUAUGGGCCAAAAUUCCUUCUGAAAUGAGCAAGUGGCUUGGAAUUCCAGGAAAUACAUUGACACAAUUGAUGCAGAAGCUAGUACAAGUUCCUAGUCUCUAAUUCCAGGAAUAACAGUAAUGAAGAAUACUCCUACUACAAGAAAUGAGAAAUUGUAUCGCAAUAAUGAAAUUGAGAAAAAAGAAGAAUGCAAGGGAAGAUGGACCUUUCCAGACUGAUAUCUGCCCUUCCUUCUUAGUUCCCACUUAUUACAUCAAGAACCCCAGAACCUAACUGACGAGUAGUUAUCAGAAUAAAAUAAAAGUACAACCCUUGAAGCUAUAGCAAAGGUGGUCAUAUGAAUCAUUGGUGCAUCAGAUGGAUAUCUAUUUGGGAUUUCAUUUCAUGUUUUUAUUUGGUUAACGUACUCUGAAAUUCAGCUGGUCUAAAUUAGUUGAUUGGAACUACGCUUGACGUUGCAAAAUCUAAUGCAGCUCGAUCUUCAUUUUGGCAAAUUGUCAUGCUUUUAUUCUAACUACUGAUCAACUAUGCUACUCUCUUUGGAAUUGCAUGCCUGUCUUGGUUCCUGUUUGAUAAAAAAGCCAAUUUAUUGACAAAUUUCCACCAGGAUGAAGUGAAUAUAUCCGUUAAAAUUUUAAGUUUGUUUUAGAGAAGCCUCUGAAUUAAAGGAAAAACUUGUGUGAUGCCUUGGAGUCACUUAAUCUUGGUCCACGCGGAGUCACUUAAGUUAGAUGUAACUUUUGGAGGAAUAUGAAUUAAAUCAAGAGUACUGUUAGUGUAGUUACACUAGCAGGAUUAAUUCAUGUUACAUAACCCCUGAAAUCAAAUUUGAAAUUUAAAUCAUACACAUAUGACAUACAUCCAUAGUUGCCACGGUAAGAAAUCAUGAAAUCAUGCACAUGUGACAUACAUCCAUAGUUGCUAGAGUAAGAAAAUCACUACACUGUCUAUACAUCAUGUAAAUAUAACAUACAUCCAUAACUACUAAAGUAAGAAAAUCACGAGAUUAUGCAUAUCUGACAUAUAUUCAUAACUGUUAGAGUAAAAAAAUCACUACACUAUCAGUGCAUCAUGCACAUGUAACAUACAUCCAUAGCUGAUAUAGUAAAAAAAAUCACUACAUGCUCAUGUAACAUAUAUUCAUAGCUACUAGAGUAAAAAAAUUACUAUACUGUCAGUACAUCAUGCACAUGUAGUCACUAUAGUCAAAAAGUCACGAGUAAGAAAAUCACCACACUAUUAGUGUAUAAAAAAUUAAUCACUAUAGUUAGAAAAUCACUAUUAGUGUACAAUUUUUUUUACACUAGUAGGAUUAGUUCAUGUUACAUAACGUUAAUUCAAAUUUGAAAUUUAAAUUAUACACAUAUGACAUACGUCCAUAGUUAUUACGGUAAGAAAAUCACGAAAUCAUGUAUAUGUGACAUACAUUCAUAGGUGCUAGAGUAAGAAAAUCACCACACUGUCCGUACAUCAUGCACAUGUGAUAUACAUCCAUAACUGUUAGAAUAAUAAAAUCACUACACCAUUAGUGCAGCAUGCACAUGUAAUAUACAUUCAUAGCCGAUAGAGUAAAAACAUCACUACGCACGCAUAUGACAUAUAUUCAUAGCUAUUAAUGUUAGAGUAAAAAUAUUAUUAUAGUGUUAGUGCAUCAUGUAUAUACAACAUACAUCCAUACCCGCUAUAGUAAGAAAAUCAACAAAAAUUAAUGAAUUGAAUGGAUUUUGUGUAUUGGAUACAACGAAACUUCCUCCAAUUGAUAUGGAUUCUAUGUAUUAGGAAGGGGGGGGGGGGGAUUCCGUUUUUUGUGUAGUCUCACCAAUUAGACAACUUUGAUUCUCAUAAUUUAAAAACUCUUUUAAGUAACUCAAAAGUAGAACCAGCCGGUGUGUUGAUGCUGCCCAGGAUCGAACUGGGGACCUUUAGUGUGUAAGACUAACGUGAUAACCACUACACCACAGCAUCUGAUUGGCCAUUCGUUUCUAACAUCUGAUUGGCCAUCCGUUUCUAAUAUCAUUAUGAGCACAACCAUUUUUCCCUUUCUCAAUGUUAUCAACAGGUUGAAGUAAUCUAAUCAUAAUCUUGUGCUUCCAACGCCUAACUCAAUUGGCAAGAAAAUUAGCUGAGUAAAAAAAAAAAUCUGAUGUCUCAUCUAAAUUUUGUUUUUCGUUGGCCCUUGAAUAAUUAAAAUUAUACACUUUAAGAACUUUAAAUGACUUUAGGCAUAAAUUUGAUCGGAUUUAAGGGGCAUUUUGUUCAUUUGUAAUUGAAGUUUUCAGACUAGCAUCAGAAAUCCUAAAAAGAGGUGACCCUUCAAUUUGUUAAGCACACCAUUAGAUUUUUUUUUUUACAAAUCCUCAAAAAAAUUGAGUUUUAACUAUAAGAAAAAAAAAACCUUGCACCAUGGCUUGCGUACGGUGUUUUUUUCAGCAAUUUAAAAGAUUCACUGUCAAAAUCUUUUGGGUAAAACUUGAUUUUCAUAGUAUUUGUAAAGAAAAAUGUAAUGGUGUGCUUAAGAAAUUGAAAGGUUACCUCUUUUAGGGUUUUUUAUUUUGGUCUCGAUGCUUCAAUUAUGAAUGCACAAAAAUGCCCUUUAAAUCUGGCCAAAUUUAAACCUAAAAUCACCGGAAGUUCUUAAAGUAUGUUGUUUCAAUUAUUCAAGGACCAAUCGGAAACAAAAUUUAAAUGAGGGGAUAAAAGUAAACAACAUCAAUAGUUUUGGAACUCCCGUUUUAUCCAAAUUAGCUAGGUUACUACGAAGUUACCUCCUCUCCCAUUUCUCUUAUAAAGUUUGAAUAAAAGCAUCAUUUCCUAAAUAAAAAGUGGUAUACGUUAUCAAAUUCAGGUAUUUUGUAAAUACAAUGUCUUAUCUACUGUUCUAUGAUAAAAUUGCAAUAAAUUACUUUAAUUCACACGGGUAAUGCUCAGUGGUAACACAUUGGAGGGGGUUUUGGAACUCAGUGCUCUAAAUUUAAUUUGUCACUAAAAUUGACAAUUAGAGUUCUAUGUUAUCAUAGGCAUAUUUGGAUUUACUUCAUUUUGGUGUUAAAAAGUAUUUACAAAUUUUAGAUGAUUUUUCUAAACCUAAAAAUGUUUAAAUUUUGUCUUCCAAAGAAUAUAUAGUUUUUUUUUUUGGCAAAUUUCCAAGCCUAUGUUCUUAUUCCGGGAGGACUCAAAUUUAAAGAGUUCCAAGGCCAUGCUAUUAGUAUUACUAGUCUUUUUUUUUUUAAUCAUGCUUUAUUUAUAUAUAAGAGAUGGAUAUUUCAAGCUUUUUCACUUGUUUUUCUGCUAAUUAAAAGCUACGCAUUUAUUAUAAUAGAAAAACGUAUAAUAAAUUAACAUAUGGAGAAAUUGUUGUUAAUGUACAUUUAUUAAUUAAUUUUACUUUACCCCAGGGCAUAUAUCAUAUAUGUAUAGUACUAUUUAAACACCAAAUAAGCUCUCAAAAAAAAAAAGGAAUCAAGAACAAAUUGAAAUUUAUUUUCAUGUUGCUAAAAACGGAACAAACUUUUUUGAAUUUUCUUGUUAUCAAAUAAGCUCUCAAAAACAAAAGGAAUCAAGAACAAAUUGAAAUAUAUUUUCAUGUUGCUAAAAAACGGAACAAACAUUUUUUAAUUUUCUUGUUUCAAGGGGAGCCAAAUUGAAAUACUUUCACUUAUAUAGGGGUUCAAUCAAUCAAAAUCAAUUUGGAGAGCCAAAAUGAAAUUUAACCCAAUUGCUUUUUCCAAUUCCAACCCAAAUAGGACCCAUAUUCCAUAAACCGAUCUACAACAACAGCCCAUAUACACAUGGAUCUAAAACCCGACCCGUCUGGGAAUGUUUACUUGAAGGAGAGGAAAACUCUCACAUAAACAAAUAAAAGUAGUACCCAAAUUCAUCGGCUUCCAAUUUUCACUUUUCAUCUUUCAUUAAUCAAAAUCCAGGAAAAAAAUUAACGAAAAUGGUAUGUGAUUUUGAGUUUGUUUUUCUUGUCAUUAGGUUAUUUUAAUUUGUUUAUUCAAUUAAUCUUCUGGGAAUUGGAAAUUUCUGCAGAUUGUGGACUCUUCUUCUCCAGCUCCCACUAAGAAUAGCUUACUACUCAGUUCGGAAGCCGAUUUGCAGAGAACUCAGUAAUGUUUUCUCUCGCUUGUUCUCAUUUUUUGUAUUUAUUCAUUAAUUUGCUGAGUUAUAGAUUUAUUUGUUUAAAGUGGAGGAGAUCACUUGUUAUCUAGGGUUUUUCUUAAUUAAGUAGGGUUUGUGGUUAAAGCAAUAAGUUUAGAUUUUUUUUUAAAGGUAAUAACUUUGGAAUUUCUCUGAUUUUGAGAGUUUCGUUGUGGGAUUCUCAUGUAUAGGGUGGUUUUUUAGAUUAAUAAUUUUUGUGGGAUUUCUUGUAUGUUGAAUUGAAAUUAUGGGUUUUUUAAAUAGGACACCUUAUGUGACUGGGACGUCUGUGAUUGCGAUUAAGUAUAAGGAUGGCAUUCUUAUUGCUGCUGAUAUGGGAGGUCAGAUUACUCACUACAUUUUUUUUUAAUCUAUAUAUGUUUCUCUGUGUGUCUGUGUGUGUUUAUGUGUGUGCGUGCGCGUGCGCGUGCAGUUGUGGCCUGCAGAAGUAGCUUUGUUGUGUGGGUGUGCAAUGGAUGGACAUUAGUGUGUGAAUUUGAAGAUAAAGCUGUACUUUUUGCAAUAUGAUUGUAUACUCCUAGCUUAGCAUUGACUUUGGAAGCAAGUUAAGCAAGGAAAUAAAAGAGCUGUGGUUGCUGCUUAUAACGAAUCAAAGUUGAUGCUGUGGACCAUUGAUCUGUAACUUGGAUUUUGGGUCUGCUUUUGCGAACAUUUUGUAUUUUUUUUAGUUGCUCUUAUUUACAUAGCAUUCUAAGAUUUGAAUAGGGCCGUCAAGUUAGUGUGGCUUUAGAAUAUUGCUCCAAUGAAGUUGUAGAAUGACUUGUUUUUAUCAUGUACACAUCUUUUUUGUAUUAUGUACACAUCAGUAGAGAAUAAGAUUUGGAUCUCAUUUCUUUUGAGAACCUGUCAAUAAGAUUUGAUAUGUGCACUGUCUAAUAUGUCUUUAAGUAUUGUAACUGUUGGAGGUCGAUGGAGUCAAUUUACUGGACUGAUUGAAGUCUUAAUAGUAAAAAUACAAUAUUGAAGUGAUAAUAGACUCCUCUUAAAAGAGGAGUACAUAAAGUACAAUAAAUGUAAACACGAGAAAAAGCAAUCAAAAGGACGGGAAAUUUAGAUUUCAAAAGCUGUUUGGUUAGAAGCUAGAUAUCAUGCUAUAACUCCAAGGCAACUGAACAAAUUGUUCCAGAGGUGUAAAACACUGUAAUGCAAUUAAUAAUCUCGUAUCUUGGAAGUAUUUCAGCUUAGAAAGAUCAAAGAAAUCAGCUGUACAUUGAAGUUAGGAACACUAUCAAAACAAGAAGAAAGCAAGGGGGUGCACGCUUGAUAGAAGCAAAUUUUGAUAGUGAAUUUGCAAAGAUUUGUUUAUGCACAUCAGCCAUUGUGCUUCAUCUGUUAGUAGCUUAUCAGAUCACAUUAACUGAAAACAUAGUAAUGUUAAAUAAUAACUAAAUCUGCAAAGCAAGAUUGGUUGGACAAGUGAACCAGCUCAAACAACUGUCACUGCUAGGAGGACAGGAAUAAAAGAUGUAAAUGAAAAUGCUGCUAAUGAACCGAAAGAACCUGUUAUCAUACUUCGCAUUUUGGCUACAGAAACUCUUAUUUGUCUGUCUUCAUAUGAAGAUUGUUCUGAUUUAGUGUAAAGUUGUUCUAGCAAACAAUUUAGCAAAGUAAUACGAUUCUGACACUCAAGUGCAAUAAUUUCUGUAUUGAUGGCACGGGGUACCGUGGUGUUUGUUUGUUUUGGAAACUGCUGAGUCUUACGAAAAUGUUGUAUACUGUAAGGAUGAAAUAUCCUACUCAAGUUGUUGUGUCAUGUAAUACAACUUUCCCAUCUUCAGGCUCUUAUGGAUCAACCCUUCGUUACAAAAAUGUGGAGCGAAUAAAGCCAGUAGGAAAACAUUCUCUUAUCGGGGCAAGUGGAGAAAUCAGUGAUUUCCAGGAGAUUUUGCGUUAUCUUGAUGAGCUAAUGUAAGUGUCUAUCCUGGUCUGGUCGAAAGGUUUCAGUUAAGAAACAAUGAGUUGGAAGCAUUUCCAUUUUGCCUUUGCCUGUGUUUUUGUCAAUCAGGUUUAGCUAGUAAUGCAAAUAGUUUGGUUAAAAGCAGUUUUCAUUGUAGUAAAUCCUUAUCAUCUCUACUCCUGGCUGCAGGCUAAAUGAUAGCAUGUGGGAUGAUGGAAAUUCCUUGGGCCCUAAAGAGGUUCAUAAUUAUUUAACCCGAGUGAUGUACAAUCGUCGCAAUAAGUUUAAUCCUCUGUGGAAUUCUCUUAUUCUUGGAGGAGUGAAAAAUGGACAGAAGUACCUUGGAACGGUAAUCCCUAAAUUGCAUACAUAAGUUGUUUAGCAAUUACCAUUUAUUCAGUAGAUAUCUUCUUGACAUAUGUGAUGGUUCUUCAGGUUAAUAUGAUUGGUGUACAUUAUGAGGAUAAUCAUGUUGCAACUGGUUUUGGUAAUCACCUUGCACGACCCAUUCUCAGGGAGGAAUGGAAUGAAAACUUGACCUUUGAAGAAGGUGUCAAGCUAUUGGAGAAGUGCAUGCGCGUCCUCCUUUAUCGUGAUAGAUCAGCUGUGAACAAACUCCAGGUAUGGUUAUUUUUGUGAUAGUCUGCAAUGAUGAUAGCUUCUUGAUUGUGUGUUUUAACCCAUAUUAUAUGCUAGUGUUUUGUAUUAUUUCCUUUGAUACAAUUUUAUUCUUUU
rnacentral:lncRNA from 1 species